UCUUUUUAAAACAAGGUAAUCUUUUUUGUAAUCUCUUUCAAUUUUGUUUCUACUUUAGUUUUCUCAGCUCUUACAGAAAGAAAAGCUUUGGCUUUAGACAUAUAUGUGUCAAUACACUUAAGUCUGAAUUUGGCUUUCAAGGCAUCAUCCAUAAAUUACAACAUCAAUUACAAUCUUUUUGAAGAAGUAUCAGAUAAUGGAGUAUCUGUAAUUAACAAAGCUUUUCCUAAAAUAUCCAAAGUGCAAUAGAUAAAUUUUUCACUCUAAAAGAUACGGGUAUUCCAAAAUUUGCCAUCUUUUUGAUAAAUAUAGUUUAAAUAUUUCACAUAUUUUGAUAGAAUAGAAAAAUCAUGAAAAUCCAUUCUAGCUAGAGCAUUCCCAAAAUGUGUUUCAAGCGCAUCAAAAGCAUUAAUAGAAUCUUUGUGUCCUAACACUAGAGAGUAAAAAACACGAAAAGCAAUAUCAUAAACAACAACAAUAUGAACAAGUUGAGUCUAAAUAGUUUGAGCAUUAAAAUAUCAACUAAGGUUCUUGAAUUAUAUACUUAGGCAUUUUCAACAUUAGCUUCACCUUUAUUUUUUUCAACAUUAUCAUCAACAUUAGGAAAGUAUGGACCAUCAGUCCUAUCAUCAUGUUCAUCAUCACAAGACUUUCACCAUCACUAAUAAUAAGUUUUUCCUUCUGAAUAAGUUUCCCCUACAAAAACAUAACAUAAAUAUGAAAUACACAUCUUAAAAAAAAAAGAACAAGAAAGAACAAGAAAAGUGAGAAGAACUUUCUUUAUGAUAAGACAUAUAUUUCUCUUUUAAUUGGCAUGAAGCAUGAGAAGCAGCAAUACUAGUGAUUUUUUCAUCUAUCUGAUUCUUACAUGUUUUUUCUUUUUCCUUGGAUGAAACAUGUAUCAAGCAUAAAGAUAUAUCACUUCGAGCAAUAUUAAGAAUUGAGAGAUGUUUCUUAGAAUUAUACAACAGUAUGCAAAAGGUUUUUCAAUAAAAAAUACACUCAUCCUAAUAAGCAAACCAUUCAGGACUGCAGUAGCUAACAAUAUUAAAUGUUGGCACAAUAUAAUGUCUAACCUCUUUACAUUUCUUCUGAACCUCAUAAAAAGGGAACUCAAAAAUAUAAGAGGAGAAAUCUUCAUCCAAAGGUGUAAGAGGAGUACACGAAAUCAUUUGAUAAUACCCAAAUUAAUAUGCAACUCAACACAUUGAAUAUACUUAAACGAAACGUGAAUCUCUAUCAUUGCCAGCAUUAGUACUGUCUAUCAUACAAGGCAGCACAAUACAGUUGACCCAAAAAUAGAACUCAAUUUCUUGCUGGCUUAAUGUUUGAGAAUAAGAUUGGCUUGGAGUACCAUAGUAAGAAAUAGGAUCAUCAUAGCCAUUUUUCAUUUGUAAGUAUGGGUGCCAAACAAACCCCUUAGCUAUAUCUAACACUUCAAGAACAUUUCUCUUUGUAGUAUGAUUAUGCUAUGCUCAAACUCUAUAAUUAUUUUUGAAGAGAAAGCCAGAUGAAUAAGUAGUAAGUGGAGGGUGUGGAUUAUGUAUUAGAGCACAAACACUAAAUCUUUUCCAUAAGCACAAUUGAAUAAAGGAAAUAUUGAUAUAUAUCAGAAUCUUAUACCUACCAAUUGAUGUUUCAUUCUUGGAAAGAUAUAAAUCCAAUCACUUAUAGAGUGAUCCCAAAUAGAAAAAAGCUAAUAAGAAACACAUACCUUUAGCAAUUUUAAUAGCUAUAGGAAUGAGGCUAGACUAAUUCCAUCAUUUGGAUAUCCUGGAAAUACAUGUUGAGCUACCCUCAUCAUUAAUAGUGCUUCCAAUUCAUACUUAGGAUUAGAAAAUUAAAAAGAGUUACUUUCACCUUCUUUUGGUUUGAAUUUAUUAAAAAAGAGUCCAACCCAAUUAGAGAAUCAAGCUGCCUUUGAUUUCUUCAUCCAACACUUGAGCAAAUCACAAAAGAAAUUACAAAUUUUCUCCUCAUUUUUAGACAAUUGAAUAGUACAAAUAUUAUGUCUCCUAAGACAAAGAAGUUCAAGAAGGACACAUGCAUCUUCAAGAGUACAAAUGAACUUUCCCUAAGCAAUGAUCAUAAUAUGAGAAAAAGUACUCCAUCUAGCAACAAUAACACGGCAUACAUUUAUUCUACCUUUCCUACAAAUACAAAGUUUGAAGGUAACUCAUACAACAUUAAACAUUUCUACUGAAGACAAAACUUUUGCAUAGGUUGGCUUUUCAAUUACUUUGUUCACCCAAUCUUUCCAACCUUGAGCAGGUUGCUAAUUUGAACCAAACUUAGUAAUAGAAAGUCGAAAUUCUCCACGCUUAAACUUGAAUUUUAGAAUAAAAGAGCCUAGAAUAUAAACUCUAUAAGUCAAUGCUUCAGAACCAAUACUUCGCCAAUAAUAGCCAACAAAAAUGCUUUGAUAAAAAGAAAAUUUUUUCUCAUGCACUUAUUCCCAAAAAUGAUCUUUUCCUCCUUUUCUAAUGAUUUUAUCUGACCAAUCUUUAGGAAUAGAAAGAAGUACACAAUUCUUUCCAAUGUGAAGAUGUACUUUCUUUUCAAGAUGUGUUUUUGGAAUAGAAUAUUCUAGAAUAUUAUUUUUUCUUUUCCUCAUAAAAGCUUGAGCAGUGUGGGAAGGUUGGCUAUAAUAGAUUCUUAGCAUUGAAAGUGAAGAAUACCUACAAAAAAUCGACAACAAAAUUUAGAUAAGUUUUUCUUAAACAGACGCAAUAAUUUUUUAUUUAUUCUAAAAAAAAAUCGAAUAGCUUAAAAAAAAUAGUCAAAUAGUAAAAAAAAAAAGAGACGAAUACAUGUUCACAAGAUCAAAAAUUUUUUCAGAGGAAUUAGACUUUCACUUAACUUUGAAUUGAAAAGUUUCUCAAGUUAAGAGAAUCAAAAUUUUUUUAUUAACAAAUAUUUAUUUUCCUUAUUUAAAAAGAGUUUUAAUAAAAUCUUUAAAAUUUUAAUUUUAUUCUUCAAACUUCAUUAAAUUUUAUUUUAAAAACAUUUUAACACUUUCUGAUAUCCUAUACAAUAUUUUACUAUACUGUUAUAGAAAUUCCUUUCAAGAAUAAGAUUAAUUUCAUUAUCUAUUUAAUUAUUUUACUUAUUUUAUUUUUUCUCAAAAUAUGUGCCAUAAGAUUUCAGAUAAUGCUCCAUAUUCUUAGUUUUGAAUCUAAAUCAAUUAUAAGUAGUAAUAAUAAUAAUAAACAAAUAAAUAAAUAAAAAUAAAAGAAGUCAAAGAUUCUCACCAAUCAAUCCUAACAUCAAUCAGUUAAAAUUGGCCUUAUUCUUUUUUGUUUCAAUGUAAAGCAUUCUUACAAAGACAUCAAAACGUGUAUAAUAUAUAUUUUUGAUGUUGAGGCAUAUAUUGACUUAAACAUAUAAUAAUUACCUACACAGAUUUAGCAUUUUCAUAAAUCAUGAAGAUUUAUUUGUUUUACUCAUGAUUUUCUUUCAGGGAAAUGGUGUAAGAAUAAAAUAGAACAACUUCAUUUUUGUUAUUUUAUUUUAUUUUACUUUUGAGAAACAUUUUUAUUAUCUAUUCUUUUUAAUAAUUUUUCUAUUUUUUAAGGUAUCACUCCCUUACUUAUUCCUUUUAAUAAUUCUUUUAUUUUUUAGAGAAACACUCCUAUUAUCAUUUAUUUUUAUUAAUUUUCUUAUUUUUUAAGGAAACACUUUCUUACCUAUUCCUUUUAAUAGUUCCUCUAUGUUUUAGGGAAACACUUUUACUGCUUAUUCUCUUUUUUUUUUUUUUUUUUAAAGAAACACUUCCACUACUUAUUCUCCUAUUUUCUUUAGAAAACACUCUCACUACUUAUUCCUUUUUUUUUUUUUUUCUUUUAGAGAAACACUAAUGUUAUGCCCUACACUUUCAUACAUUACUUGUCUAAUAUGUAACUCUUUGAUUUACAACAUUAAAAUUUUCUUGUUCUGUGCAUGAAACAUUCUUUAAUUUUCAUCAAACAAUUUUCAUGUAGGGGGCAAUGAAUCCACACAUAUACAAUCACAAAUAUGUGUAUAUAAUUUUUUUCUUUCAUUAAACUUAUGUAUACAUCUUUAAAUUACAAGAAUAAAUAUAUUUUAUUUUCAUAUUUUUUUGCUUUUACUCUUUCAUUAUUCUAGUGCAUGAAAACUUCUAAUACUAUGAAUUCUCAUAUAGGGGGCAAAAUGUAGAUUGUUGAUUUUGGUUACUAAUAUUUUAUUCUUUUAAAUUUCUCUAAAGUUGUUAAAAUUAAGAAUAAGUCAGAACAUGUGUUAAGACUAUUUUAGUGAAGGUUAUUUUAUGGAACAGUUGACAAGACUAUUUCAGUGAAGGUUACUUUAUGGAACAACUAUUCAUAAAACAACCCUUUUAUAGAAUAGUGUUUACGGAACAACUAUCCAAGGAAUAACUCUUUCACGAGACAGUUGUUCUUGAAACAACUUUCUUAAAGAACAAAAGCAAUAUCUUUAUUGGAAACUCAUGAAACACAAGUUGCUUCACUAAGAGUUAUUUCACAAAAUAAGCUUCAUUGAAUGUUACUUCAUUGAAAAAAAAAAUGAAAAUAACUUGGGAAUAUGGUAGGGUUCUUAGUUUAAUCCACUAUUGGGAUGUUUUGCAUAGUUUGGCUUGGUAGAUCAGAUAUGGAGAUAGUUAAGGCAUUUUUUUUAACCUUUCCCUGAAAUAUGAAUGCUUUUUUUUUUUUUUUUCAGAAUAGAUAGUGAACUUCUAUGUCUAUUAUACUUAUCACUAAAAGCUAAUUAGACACCCAUUAAUUAAUACAUUAAUACCUUUUGUAAUAGUCAAUUCUUCCAUUAUUCACCAUUAUUCUUGUUCAAUACUCAAGAUAUGUAACUCCUAUUCUUGAAGACCUAUAAAUAGGAGUUUCCACAAUUCAUUGGGAGACUUAUGGAGACUUUUGCCAAACUUACUCAGUUCUCUUUAUAAUUCUCUCUUCUUAAGUCCUUUUUUUAAUCUCAUUCUCUUCUUUACUCAGCUUGACUUCACCACCUACAACCACCUACCGCUAUGCUUAAUAGUUUAGGGUUUGCUCCAAUCUUUUUUUUUACCUUUUCCCAGCACAUCUUGUUUUACUUGUUUGCAACGCUUUCUCACCUCAACAAAGAACCCAUUUACACCCACUUAAUUCAUGAUGCAUCUUGUUGAGCCAAAUGUAGCAAUAGAACAUUUUAGGCCUAUCGGACAACUUGUAUAUGCAUACAUAUUUUCAAAAUGAUAUUGGUACUAAAUAUUGAUUGUACUUGCGAAAGAUGUCAAAAAGACCAUUGUAGAGAAUUCUUUGAUGACUACCAACCAAGAAAGGAGAAAAAAAUUUUUUUAGGAAUAACUUAAAGAAAGAUAUCAAGAUAGGGACAUUGAAGUUGAUUUCUUUUCUUUACUCUUCUUGCAAAUUAACUAGACUUUAAAACAAUAGAAAAGUGGAUAAACAAAGUCAGAGAAAAACAACCAAUUAAACACAAGCCUAAAAAAAUUAUAGGAUACCCUAUCAAUUAAAGCCAAAAGUGACAUCUAUCUUAACACUUCAUUAUGUUUCAGAUACCACAACAAGAGCUUCUUUGAACAUUUUUCCCACACUUUUAAAAUAAAUGGAAUAAGGUAAUCUUCCUUAUUUACGGGAGGAUAACCUUAUCAUCAAAAUGGAUGAGUUAGAUUCAUUUUUCACUAUGUUUUUUGAACCAUUUUUUAUAACACAAUGGAAACAAUUCCUGAGAUAUUUCUUUUUGAACGAUUGUUGAAAUGCCAUAAGAUAACUAUGAAGUUCACGACCUUGAUCCAAUGCAAGCAAAUCAUGUGCUCCUUCUUCAAGUGCAUAAUCAUUCAUCUUCAACAAGAUUUUUAGUCUUUACUAUUAAUGACAUCACUCUAUCAUAACGGCAUAGAUUUCAGGAAUUCCUAGUAUGUGGAUUAAUUGAACUCAAUUACAAUUCUAAUUUAACAUUGUAAAUGGUAUGAAUCUGUUUUGCAUCAAGAUUAGUUGGAACCUUGAAAAAUGUUUAGGAUAGCAUAGCAAAUAUAGGCAAUCAAUUUUCUUAUAAUGUGUCACACUUAUAAAAGCUAUCUCUAUUCUUAGCUAUAUUAUGUGGACAAGAAACUCCUUAAAAUUGACAAGAUUAUAGAGCAAUUUUGCCAACCCAAAUGUUUUCUUCUACAAAAUAUCUUUGAUCGAUAUUAUCAACAAUUUUUACAAUAUUAUUAUCUUUUUAGAGGUAAUGGUAAUAUUAACCUUAAGCAAGCUUUCCUCGCUUUAGUUCAUGAAGAACUUGGUCAACAUAAACAAAUUCAACUUAAUAUUAGAUCUUUUGAUUUAAAUACUUAGAAUGUCAAUGACAUUUAAAAGCUUACGCUAAAAGCCUUUGAGAAGACUUUUACAUUUCUAAUUUGGUGAAUAACUCUCAAAAAUAGAAAAGCCACAUGCAUAUCCAACAAAUUGCUUACAAGUUAAAUGUUUCUCCAAGAUUCUUCUUGUCGAUAUUGUUUGUAGAAGAAAAAGAAAAAUUUUAGAAAGUUUCAUUUGUCCACUCGAGCUAGAGAUUUCCAUUUUUCCAAGCAUAGAAAUAAUUUCAGAGUGAAAGUCGAGAAGAUUCAAAAAAUUUAAGUUUGGUACAAAGAAGCAUGACUUAAAGAAGAAAUCCACCAAUUGUUUUCUUUACAGACAACCAGGACAUAAUGCUAAAUAGUGCUUAAACUCUGACAAAAAAUCUAUUAAAAUGAUACAAGAUAUUGCUAAUAUUUUGGGUAUUAAUCUUUUAGAUAUGAUCUUGAAUUGUUAUUGUCCCUUGAUGAUGAACAACCUCAUAAUCACUAUUUAUGAUCCAACAAUAUGUGGAUAGUGAUUUUGACUCCUUAAAUAUAACUUGGAUGAAGAAAAGCAUGAUUAUAUGGUAAUCCAAGAAAUUCAACGUACGAAGACCUGUUUUGCCCUUGUUCAGAUAUUUUUGGAUGAUCAUUCACUUUUAGUUCAAGUGAAAGCUUUCUUUAACACAAGCAAUCUAGACAAUUGCAAACCCCUUUGUUUUAACCCGUUCAAUCCUACUUUAUGAUCAUUAAUGAAAAUGUGUUUUCUAUAAUUUUUAUUAACAAACCAUUCAUUUUUUUAUGUACAAUUACACAAAAAGUUUUAGGAACUAGUUGUUGGUGUUGAUAUCAUUAUUGCCAAAUUAGGUCUUAAGCUUAGUUGUACAAGAAUUUAGUUCAAACAUUUUUUUUCAUGGAAAAUACCAAACUUUUUUACUAUAUAUUCCUAUUCAGCUUCAUUUUUCAUGGAAUUAAACAGAAGUUAAUAUGGACUUAAUGUGCAAACAUGCAUUCAUAAUUCUUCAAAAAAUUUAAACACCCAUUUUGGCAAAGCUUAAAAAUUUUCAUAAUCUUUUCUUUCAAGAAAAAUGAGAAAAUCCGACAAAAGCUAGUUAUUCAUGUAUGAAUCCACAAGACUUGAAGUUACCUAUUGAAAAAUGCUCUAGUAAGGAAUCAUUGAAUCUAAUUCUUUUCCAUGGCAUAUAAAGCAUUUUACGUCAACAAAAUAUCAUAACAAAUUUGUAAAAAGAUUAAGACUGAUUGUUAAUUAUAAGUCUUUUAAUCUUUUUCUUAACAACGAUAAAUUUUCCCUUUAAACAAAAAAACUUUUUUUGUAAUUUUGUCUUAGGUAAUAUUAUUCUUGAAAUUUGAUCUUAAAGAAAGAUUUUUGGCAAUUAGGUAUCCAUCCAUCACAAAGAUAGAAAAUAACUUUCUACAUCCCACAACAUCAUUUUCAAUGGACAGUUUUGGCUUUUGGAUUAAAAGUAACUCCUUCAAUGUUCCAAAAAGCAAUGUUAGAAAUCUUUGCUAUUAUCCUUGCUAAUGCUUUCAUAUAUAUACAUUGAUGAUAUCCUUCUAUUUUUUUUUUCAAAGGAUUAUACUCAUGCAUAGUUACUUGAUAGUUUUCAAUGCAUGGUUCAACAAUAUAGAAUCAUGUUGUCAAAAAAAUGACAAUAGAAUCAUGUUUGGUAAUUCGUUAUAGAGGCAACCAAUCUUGUUGAUAUUAGAGCCAACAUGACAAAAAUAAAAAAUAAAAUUGUGAUAUUAUUUGACUGCUAGAUUGAGAUAGUAAGUCCUAACAAUCAUGAAUCCAUAUCAAACUUCUAUUUUUAGUUGCUCUUAUUUUUUUUCUUUACCCUCUCCUGUACUUAGAAAAUUUUCAACUUUUAAAUUAAAUUUCAUUUAUGAGAUUGAUUGUGCUCAAAUUUUAGCUUUUUCAUGCUUGUUUUUAAUGCAAUUUUACUUAUAUUUUGGCUUGUUCCUUAGAAAUUUUAGCAAAAUUAUUCCUAAAUGCAUAUUUUUCUCAUGUGUAGGUACAAAUAAUGGAAUUGAGGAAUUUUAGACAUUUUUUAUUCAAAAUUGGAGGAUUUUUUGUGCAAUUUAUGCAUAUGACCUAAACUAGUGUCAAUAGGCCACAUUAACAUUAAGGGAGUUUUCUUGAUUUUUUUAGCAUAAUUUUUCAGUAUUAUUUUCAUAGUAAUUUCUUAGUAAAAUGUAGGAUAAAAAUGUUCGUACAAUGUUUGAAAUUUUUUUGCAAAAAAAAAAGAUGUAAGACACAUUGGUAUAUGGGUGCAUUGAGGAUCAAGCAAUUACAAGGUUGCAUAAACUGGGUUGGAUAGCAGCAAAGCUAGGAGCUAAGUUAGCAUUUUGGGAGGCUAUGAUUGACUAUAAUUUUGACUUUAUGAAUCAUCAAGUACACAUGAAAGAAGCUUGAAAUUCUAUUAAGAAUAAUGAACAAGCACCGGUAUGCACUAGACCAAUCUUGAACACAUGGAAAGGAUGAAAGCUCUAGAAGCCAAGCCAAUGAGAGAUCUUUCUGGAUUUUUUUAGGCAUGAAGCUCCUCCCCUCUGACUAUAAAUAGGGAGAGAGCCUAGCCCUAGGAAGAGAGUUACUUUAGGAUUUAAAUUUUUGUUUUUUUAUUUUCCUACAUUUUCCUUUCUAUAUGUUACAUUUUCUUAGUUUCCAAACAAUUUAUUUUCAGCAUCUUACGUUUGAAUUUUAUUCCAAUUUUACUAUUUCCUAAGUGUUUUUCAGUGCUCUUUUCAAUAAAAUUUAAAUUUGAAUUCAUUUUUUUGCUAAAAUCUACUAAUUUUUCAUUCAUACUCAAAACUAUUUUUGAAUUUGUUUGCUUUAACCUAUCUGUUGUUUUUGGAUCAUAUCUCUAUCAAAUCUUGCUUGUUUUAAUCAAGUUUUUCUUUUAUAGUUUCCUAAGUCUUAGAGCUACAACAUAGUAAAAAUUAAGCUUCACACACACACGACAACGUGCUUGAUCAAGCUUAGAAAUUUUGGCUAGAUGCAAGUGAUAAUGUAGAUCCAAUUUUGAACAACCAAUAGGGCAUGGACUUCUCUCCACUUUGGCAAUUUGUUUGCAUUUUUUUCUUCUUUAGAUUUUUGUUUCUACUUGUUACUUCAUGCUUUUCAUUGCUGUUUGGUUAAUUUUCUUUAAUGAUGUUUUGUUUUUCUAGAUUCUACACUAUUUUUGCAUUUGAGUUCAUUGAGCUGAUUUUUCUAUUGAUUCAUGUUAUUUUCUUGUUAAUUUAGAUAGAUAGCUCAUAGAUAUAUGUUUAUUUAGCUUAGUUUUAGUUCAUUUCCUCUAGAAAAUUGUAGAUCUAAUUUAUCUUCCACGAAUUAUUAGUUUUUAGCUUUCAAAAUCAGUUUUAGUUUCUAAUUUCUUUUGUUGAAUCUAUCAAUUUUUUUUUUUAGUUUUUGUUCUUCAUUUGAAUUAUUGUAUUGUUCUUUUAGUGUAAUUUCAAUUUAUAGUACAUAGUCAUUUGAUCUUGUAUUAUUUAAAGUUAGAAAGCCAUCUUGAAGUCAUGGUUCCAUAUUAGCCUGAAAUUUUUGGUUUUUGCUUACUUGAUUGCAUUUUGUGUUUUUAAUUUAUAAUUUUCACUUUAAUUUCAUUUUUACACUAGUUAAUCUAUUGUUUUGUAAAUUUACAGUUUGUUUGGAAAUUUUCUCUAGAAUUUUUUAGCUCCUUUCAUUAGAUGUUAAGUUGUUAGUGAUAGUUAGUUAAUUCGGUUAAUAAGUUUUAGUUAUUGUUUUUGUUUCAAUUUUUACUUGUUAUUUUUCAUCUUAGAUUAGAGUUAUAUCUUGAUUCAUGUUUAGUUCAUUUCAUUUUAUUUUACCUACUGCUUUUGCAUUUUAUUUUACUUAGUUUACACGUUGCAAUUUUACAUUAUGCAAUACUUGUGUUAGAUGUAUUGUUUGAUUUUUAUUCUUUUUAGUUAGUUUAAUGUCAUGUUUUUCUAUGUUUGAUUAAUCCAACAUUAGAAGGGUAUGGGGAUAAAAGGUACUUAGUUUGGGAACCUUUUUAGCUAAUCCUCAUGGGAUCGAUAUCUUGACCUUUUGGUCACUAUUAUUACUGGUACGACCUAUGUACUUACAGAAUUGUCCAAUCAAGUUUUUGGCGCCAUUGCUAGGGAUUAGAAGUCAAGAAUCCUAGGUUAAUAUUAAUCUUCACCAUGAGCUUCUGUAGAUUGGUUUACCCUUUGUUUACUUUUGUUAGGCUAGUACUAACUUGCUUUGUUUUUGUUUCCUUAGGUUGUACACAACUAACUUUCUUAACGUAGGUUUUUGUUUAGGAUUUGUUUUUUAUUUUCACAUGUGGGAUUCCAAUACUUAUGACAUAUAGAGCAUCAUGUGGGCCAUGCUAGAUUUUAUUAUUUUAAUAACUACCUAAUACUAUGGCCUAGUGAGGAAGACAAUGCCAAAAUAUAGUCGGCCUUUAAAGAUUUAUUCAAAAAAUUUGACUCUAUAAAAAAUAAAGUAGAGGCCAUUAAAGCUAGGUAUGAUCCUAAGCCUACUUUUGUCGAUAACUUUCUAAGCUAGCAUGAUAAUGGUCAAGUGUAUGGUGGAGUUUACUAUAGUGAUAAGUGUCCAUAUAACCAAUACUUUCAGUCUUACACAAACACUUACAUUAGUCACACUUGGGAGGGUUAUCCUAAGAACAUGUAGGAUAAUAGUUUAGGGCAUUUAUUUAGUUCACUACCUCAGUACACUCUGAUUUAUCCUACCAAGCAUUCAUUUCCACAAUACCCUCUGCCACCCUAAUAUUUUCCACCAUCAUUGCAAUUCCUCAAGUGUUACAUUAUGCUCCACCAUAGCAACAUUUUUCUCCAUCACAACACCAUUCAUCUUCACAUUACUUUCCAUCCACACCAUAUUCACCACCACUUCCUCAAUAAGAAAAAAAACCAUCCCUUGAGGAAAUGCUCAUUGAAUUGUUCCAAACUCAAGAAAAAUACCAACAAGACCUAGAGGCAUACAUUAGGAAUUCUAGGCAAUAUGGUCAAAAUGUGCACAUAUUUAAUACUUGCCUUUUAGAUCCUAUGCCUAGUACUAUAAAGUCAACACCUUCUUGAGAGGAGAAUUAGGAGCAUACAUUAGGAAAUCAUUUAAAGGGAGAUAAUUCCAGACAGAUUGAUGGUGAUGAUGAGCCUAAUGUGUUGAAGUCACCAUAUUUUGUAAAAGUUAUGAAGGAAGAGAUAGUGGAGGCAGAAGACAAGUCUAGGGCUAGUGAAGUUGAUGAUGAUGGAUCAUUUAGGGUAGUUAAGAUAGAAAAUAACAUUCAAGAAGAAGUUAAUCUUGAUAUUCCACUAAUGCAAUUUUUGAGUUCUUUGAUGAUCACUUACCCGAUUAUGUGAAGAUGCACGAGGUAGAUAGAUGUGUUGAUAAGGCAAGCUUACUAGAUAAAUCACUUAAGCACUUAGACACAUUUCUUCUUGAAUCUAGUAUUGAGCUUAAGGAUGAGGAGGAACUAAUUAGGAAAGAACUUACUUGUCUAGCAGCUUUUCUAUUCCAUAAUCCUAUGUCUAAAGUUAUAGACACCUCAUUCCUAGAACUUUUUUUAGAUAGACCAUCCAUGGAGAAAAAUGUGAGUGAAAAUGAUUUUGGAAAGGACAUCUCAAUUUCCUACCUUGAUUUGCAAAAAGGUCUUAGUAAUGGUCCUAAACAAGAAAAAGUGAACCUUAUAGUAUAACCAUGCUAUUUCCUCGAUUCUUUGAAAAUUCAUUGUAUGAUGAGUUAUAAAUGCAUGUGUUUAAAAACUCUCUAUUCAAUGAUUGUGAUUAGGGUUGUUUGACUCCACCAUUAAAUACAACCCUUGUUAAGCUUACACCUAUAUCAUUUAUAGAGGAUUCUUUCAUUGUAGAACCUAUAUGCAUAUUCUCUAGGGUGGUACCCAUCUCAUUGGUACAAAAGCCAAUGACCACCUUUGUUGGUCCUUAUUGCAAUAUACUUAGAUUGUUCAUAAAGGUGGAACAUAAAUCUACUUGUGUGUACUACAUUCACUUAGAGUUUGUCAUCACAUAUUUGGUGAAAAGGAAGAGAAUAAAAUAGGUAGAUUUGAGAAAAAAAUGUAGUGUGAUUCUCUAACACUUGUGAAAGUCAAGCUUUUGACUUUAAAUAAAGUGCUUCUUGGCAACCCAAGCUUUACAUUUCAUGUUUUGUUUUCAUAUAUUUUGCUUAUCAUUUCUUAUACAUAUUAAUGUAGUGUGAUAGGUAGAGAUUGAUAAUUGAUAUAGCUUUAGGAAAAGAUUGAAUGUGCGUGAAAUAUGAGAUGAUGCUUAGCUUAGGUUUAGUGAAUUCUUAAAUAUGGUUUUCAUUUGUGAGUGAUGUUUUGAACAUUGAAUUGCAUUUUUUUUUAUCUAGUAUUGAUUAUGUAAGGAUGAGAUUAUUUUUAUAUUGGUCUUUGGAGUUGUUUUUCAUGAUUCUAGAAUCUGUUUUGAUCAUUUUUCGAGGUAAAAUCCUAGAGACACAUGAUUAGGGAAAUGAUAUAGGCCUGUUUUGGAUCGUUUGAGCCUUUCAAGCCAACCUUGAUAGAAAUUUUUCAUAGUCACCCCAUUUGAGUCUUAUGAUGCCUUUUCUUUGUUUUGAAACCACAUUACAAGCCUAUAGCCUUAUUUGAAUAUUUUCUAUCUUUUUGGUCCUUUACCUAUAUGAAUUAGGACAUUAAUGUAGCAUUUGUGAGCUAUGCAUUAUUAGGGAGGAAAUGUGGAGCUUGGAAAAAAAAUGGAAAAAUAAAAAAAUUUGUAAAAAAAAAAAGAAGACAAAGAAAAAAGUUAUGAAAAAAAAAUAAAAACAAAAGCAAUAAAGUGGUGAAAAAGCAAAUAAAAGAAGAAAAGAAAAAAAUAUAGGCAAAAUCAAAGUUUGAGAGGGUGAUUCUUUAGUCAAGCUUACCUUUUCUAUCUUGGAAGCUCAACUAUGGAUGAUCCUAGACAUGUAAUGCAUUGUUAGGGUACUUGAGCCUGAAUGACUUUUCUCAUACUAUAACCCUAGCCUUACAUUACAAGUUUAUUAAAGUCCUACAUGAUCCUUGGUCAUGUGUUUAUUUACAUUAGUGGAGAAAGAUGUGAUGAGCAAAGUUAUAGAACAUGAGCAUACUUUAUUGAUCCUUGUUAUUAAAGUUUCUUGUUUUGCAUAACAUUACUAGAUUUCAUGCAAGGAUAUAUGAGAGGUGUUGUUUACUUGUGGAACCACAAUUAGGAAUGAUCUUAGCCUAGAUAGAUUCUUUUAUAUAAGCACUUGUUCAUCAUUUUACUUUGUUAUAUCUAUUGAUCAAUCCAUGAGGCAUUCAUGUUGAAUAAAGCAUUGAGAGUAUAAUAUGAUUCUUACUCAAUCUUGUUUUGCUUGAGGACAAGUAAAAGCUUAAGUUUGGGGGUUUGAUUGCACUUAAAUUUUAGCUUUUUCAUGCUUAAUUUUAGUGCAAUUUUACUUAUAUUUUGGCCUAUUCCUUAGGAUUUUUGGCAAAAUUACCCCUAAAUGCACUUUUUUUCAUGUGUAGGUGCAAAUAAUGGAAUUGAGGAACUUUAGACAUUUUUUAUACAAAUUUGGAGGAUUUUUGGUGUUAUUUGUGCAUAUGGCCUAAACUAGUGUCAAUAGGCCACAUUGACAUUGAAGGAGUUUUCUUGAUUUUUUUAGCAUAAUUUUUUAUUAUUAUUUUCAAUGUCAUUUUUUAGUAAAAUGUAGGAUAAAAUGUUCAUAAAAUGUUUCAAUUUUUUUGCAAAAAAAAUAAAAUAAAGAAAGAUGCAAGACACGUUGGUGCAUAGGUGCAUGGAUGAUCAAGCAAUUGCAAGGCUACAUAAGUUGGGUUGAGAGCAUUAAGCUAGGGGCUGAAUUGGCAUUUUGGGAGGCUAUGAUUGGCUAUAAUUUUGACUUUAUAAAUCAUCAAAUACACAUGAAAGAAGCUUGAAAUUCCACAAAGAAGAAUGAACAAGCCUUAGCGUGCACCAAACCAGUCAUGAACAAAUAGGAAGGGCAUAGGCUCUAAAAGCCAAGCCAAUGGGAGAUCUUUUCAGACCUUUUUAGACUAAGUCUCCCCCCUCUACCUAUAAAUAGGGGGAGAGUGCUGGCCAUAGGAAGAGAGUUAGUUUAGGAUUUAAAUUUUUGUUUCUUCACUUUCCUGCAUUUUCUUUUUUGCAUUUUACAUUUUCUUAUAGUCCAAGAACUUUAUUUCCAACACUUUGCCUUUGAAUUUCAUUGCAAUUUUACUAUUUCUUAAGUUUUUUUCAGUGCUCUUUCAGAAUCUUUCAAUAAUUUACAUUUAAAUUCAUUUUCCAACUCAAAUUUACUGAUUUUUCAUUAAUACUCAAAACUAUUUUUCAAUCUAUUUGCUCUAACCUAUUUGCGGUUUUUGGAUCAUAUCUCUAUCAAAUCUUGCUUGUUUUUGCUCAAGUAUUUUUUUCAUAGUUUCCUAAGUCAUAAAGCUACAACAUAGUAGACAUUAAGCGUCAAACUCACACGACAACAUUCCAGAUCAAGCUUGGAAGUUUUAGCUGGAUACAAGUGACAGUGCAAUUCUAGUUUUGAGGAACCAGUUUGGCAUGGACUUCUCUCCACUUUGGCAAAUUUUUUUGCAUUAUUUUCUUCCUUAUAUCUUUGUUUCUGCUGGUUUCCUUGUUAUGUCUAAUUUUGUGCAAUUUAUUUCAUGCUAUUUCUUGCUAUUUGGUUAAUUUUCUUUGAUGAGGUUCUAUUUUUCCAAAUUCUACUCUAUUUUUGCAUUUGAGUUCAUUGAGCUGAUUUUUCUAUUGAUUCAUAUUAUUUUCUUAUUAAUUUAGGUAGAUAACUCAUAGAUAUAAGUUUCUUUAGCUCAGUUUUAGUUCAUUCCCUCUAGAGAAUUGUAAAUCUAAUUUUUCUUCCAUGAAUUGUUAGUUUCUAGCUUACAAAAUUAGUUUUGGUUUCUACUUUCUUUUAUUGAAUCUUGCAAUUUGUUUUUUAGUUUUUGUUCUUCAAUUUGAAUUCUCAUAUUGUUCUUUUAGUGUUCUUUCAAUUUCUAGUUCAUAAUCAUUUGAUCUUACAUGAUUUAAAGUUAGAAAGCCAUCUUGAAGUCACCAUUCCAUAUUAGCUUGAAAUUUUUGGUUUUUGCUUAGUCAAUUGUAUUUUGUGUUUUUGAUUCAUAAUUUUCAAUUUAAUUUCAUUUUUACACUAGCUAAUCUAUUGUUUUUGUAAAUUUCUAGUUUGUUUGGAAAUUUUCUUAAGUAUUUUUUUUAGCUCCUUUCAUUAGAAGUUGAGUUGUUAGUGAUAGUUAGUUAUAGUUAGUUAAUUCGGUUAAUUUGUUUUAGUUAUUGUUAUUGUUUAAUUUUUUCUUGUUAUUUUUCAUUCUUAUUUUAGAGUUAUAUCUUGAUUUAUGUUUAAUUUAUUGCAUUUUAUUUUACCUACUAUUUUUGCAUUUUAUUUUACUUAGUUUAUAUGUUGCAAUUUUACACCAUACUAUACUCAUGUUACAUGCUUUGUUUGAUUUUAAUUUUUUUAGUUAGUUUAAUACCAUGUUUUUCUUUGUUUGAUUGAGCCAACUUUAGAAGGGUAUAGGGAUAAAAGGUACUUAGUUUAUGAACAAUUUUAGCUAAUCCUUAUGAGAUUGACAUCUUGACUGUUUGGUCAUUAUUAUUAUUUGUACUACCUAUACACUUGCAGAAUUGUCUGAAUUAGAGAUAAAUUAUGUUAAAAAAGAAAGCAAAAUUAAAAAAAAACCAAAACUUCCUCUUGUAAAUCUCUAUAAUGCAUUUUCUAAACAACCAACUUCUUUUGUUAAGUCCAUAAAAGCUCUUCUUACACACAAACUUAAAGCUUAAAAAAGUAUGUUAAAGCCUCAAAGUUUGGUUAGUGUAUACUUUAAAAAAUACCUAAAAGCACUUUAUGACUAUUUAAACUCCUCCAAAAUUUCUUAAUAAUGAAUAGUUCAAGGAUAUACUCAUUUCUACUUUGGUGCUAUCAGAAUUACAUUAAGUUUACGUAGACAUCAUGGUAUUCUUGUUUGUACUAGAAUAUCAUUGUUAAACAUAAGAUGUAAAGAAUGCAAACAUGUUCUUGAAAUUGUUGAGACAACUCUCAAUGUAAGGAUUAUUUUCUUUAUAGUUUUCCCAAAUUAUAGCAUGUCUUUUUGUGACCUUACACUUGUUGAUGUUUUAAAGGUCCAAGUCUAAAAUUGUUGGUGCAUAGAUGAAAGGAUAUAAAGCAACAGUUUAUUACUAAAUGGUUUAUAAAAUCCAAAACCAUGCUAUAAACUUACCAAUGCUCAGCUUUGGUCAAAUUGUUUCUACCAAGCUUAAAGCGUUAGAUAAGUCCUUAAAUGUAUCCACAUCCCAAAACAUAUCCUAGCAAAUGAACUUACUGCCCUGAUUCAUGAGUCAUGGCUAACAAGAUAUGAAAGACUAUGGGAAUAUAAUGAACCUAUCAAAAACUUUGACCCCACUUACACCAUAAACACAGAUGGAACCAUCACCAUCAAAUCAACCAUAAAAAAGACAUACCAACUCCACUACCAUUUUUCCCAUCCAUUUCAUGAUACAAUCAUGAAAUACAGGAGCCAAAUAUAGCAAUUGAGCAUUUCAAGGCUAAUUGACAACUUGUAUAUGCAUAUAGAUCUUUGAAAGGACAUUGCCACUGAGACAUCAAUGUACAUGCAAGGCAUGCCAAAAACAACUUUGCAAAGAAUUCUUUAGCAAUAAUGAUGUCCAACCAAAUAAGAAAAAAAGAAAUCUCUUCACCAAUAGUUUAAAGAAAUAUAUAAAAUAGAGAUCUUGAAAUUGAUCUCUUUGGUGAAUCCUUAGGUUAAUAUGAUUUCUAUGUCAUUUAUCCAAAUAAAAAAAAAACUAAAAGCAACCCAAAUAACCCAACUAGAUAAAAACCCUUCAAGCUUGAUCCAAAACUCAUAAACCCAAAGCCUUUACCUUGUUAUGCAAAAGAAAAAGUUGAAUACAAACCUUCAAAAACUCAAAAACCUAAAACCAAACCUUUAAAAUUUUGCAUACAUUGUAAAAUAAAGGGUCUUUUUGCAAGCAACAAGCUCAAAACAUUGUUCCUUAAACACCUCUUCAAGUUUGCUUGAUGCAAACCUUUGGAUCAUCAUAUUUUAUUGAAUUUCCUUUGCUGCAAGAAUUUUAGAAAGAUCAAAUCAUACACCUGCCAAAAAUCCCAAAUCCUAUGGGCUAAGAUGCAAAAAAAAAAAAAAAAGACUUUUUGACGAGAAGCAAUGUUAAGAUUUUUAAUUUUAUUAAGUUAGGUUUGGAUAACACAAAUUUAUUGGCUUGACUUUCGAUGUAUUCCAAUGGAAUAGCCAAUCUACUAUGUGUAUAGAUUCGUAGACCUAUCGCUAGCACAACUUAGAAGUCGCCACUAAUCUUUUUUUGUUUAAGUGUGAGUGGCCACCUAACAAAAUCUAUCUUUUUUUAAAUAAAAGAUCCGAAACUCGACUUAGAUAUCUUUGAAAGGUAAAUGCUAGUCUACAAAACUACGACUAGGUUUGAGAGUAUGGUUACGUGUGAGGAAUGUUAUAGUACCCUCACAACGCUCAUCCAAAGGAUAUACUAGUUGAUUUCGUGUUAUUCAAAGCUUUAAAAACAUAUUUGUAUUGUUACCAAUUAAAUUUAGCAUUGAAAAUAAACCUUAAAAUUACUCAAAUAGUUUGUUAGCAAUUUAAGAGAAUUUUCUCACCUUAGGAGUAUUCAUGGAGACUAGUGUCCAACUCUGAAAAGGCUUCGUUGUCAGAUUCAUUAAUAUAUUUUAUUUUAUGGGUUUAUUAUUUUAAAAAUGAUUAAUAAAAUCUUCCAAUAUUUGAUAAGAUUUUAUUUUGAUGCAUAUCCCUAAAUAGUUUGGUGGGAUUUUUAUUCAAAAAUUUAUUCAUGAAAUUUAGAAAGAUUCAUUAAAUUUUCCAAUAGUUAGGUAAGAUUUAACUCAAGAUUUAAAUCCUCCAAUAGUUUAGUAGGAUUGAAAAUUUUUAUUUUUCAUAAAAAUUUAUUAAGUCCCUCAAUAGUUUGGUGAAACUUAAUUUAGAAAUUUAAAUCCUCCAAUAGUUUGGUAAGAUUGAAAAAAAUUUAUUUUUCAUAAAAAUUCAUUAAGUCCCCUAAUAGUUUGGUAGCACCUAAUUUAGAAAUUUAAAUCCUCUAAUAGUUUGGUAUGCUUGAAAAAUUAUUUUUUUAUGAAAUUUUAUUAUGAAAUCCUCCAAUAGUUUGAUAAAAUUUAUAAUUUUGAAAUAAUUUUUAACCUAUGAAAUUCCACCAAUAGUUUGGUAGAACUUAUGAAUUUAUUUUUAAAAUUAUUUCUUUUUUUAAGUAAAGAAUCAAUUAAAAUAAAUAAAAUUUAAAUCAAAUAAAUUGAAUAAAUAAAAUAAAUAAAAAAUUUCACAAAAAUGGUGUCAGCUGGGCUCAACUUAGCUUGUGGCUCAGCUAUAGGAACAAUAUAAGGCUGGAGCACUUGGAUCUCAGCUCGACUUGGCUCAAAGUGCCUACUAGGAAACCCGUUGCAAGUUAGGUCACACAACAGGUCGGGUUAGGUAAACAACAAAAUAUGUAGAUCCUAAAAGAUUUAAAUGCUUAAAACAACACCAUUUCAAUUUGGUGUAAAAAUAAAACAAUUUUUUUCUCUAUAUAUUUUUUUUCUCUCUUAGUUCCCUUCUACUUUUCUCUCUAAAUAAGGAAAACUUAUGGCUGGAUUCUACAAAUUCCCAUCGAGAAAUUCUUUUGUCAUCAAAAUUUGAUCAAGAUCUAGGUUUCUUGCUAGAACAUCGACAAAAGCUAGAAAUUCUUGCUAGAAAUUAGAGAUCUCGCUAGAAUCUCAUAAGAAAACUUGAAUAUUGUCAAAAAAUUCAAUUGAAAAAUUUUAAUUUUUUUAAAAAAUUUCCAAAAAAAUUCAGAAAACUUCUUUUCUACAUAAUUCAAUCUUUUAACGUGAUUCUUUCUUUUACUUCACUAUAAUUUUAAACAACAAUUUUCAAAAACACUUCUCUAACUAAAAAUCUCCACUAUAUUUUAACUCUUUGACUUUUUCAUAUUUUUUCAUUCUAAUUUUUGUCCUUUUCUGUGAUGAUUGUAAGUUUAUUUAUAGGAUGAAUUGGUAGAGCUCUUGAUCACCUAGGAUUGAGUUUUCAAAAUUUUUAUAUUAUCAUAAAAGAAAAUUAUCAUUUAUCUUUGAGAAUUUAAACCUAAACCAAUCUCAUCACUGACCAUUUAUCCCCUUUUAUUUUUAGCCAUUCAACUAUUUUUUUCCAAUUAUCUUUUAUUUUUCCUUCUUUUCUAAAAUAAUCAAAUAAUUUAAAAAUAAGAUAAAUAUAAAGAAAUUGAAUAAAUAAAUAUAGCUAAAGAUAAACAACAAAUAAACAAGAUAAACAAUAAAUAAUAAAAUAAAAUAAAAUAAGUAAGCGAAGAUAAAUAGGAUAAAUAUAUAUAGAAAAAUAUGAAGUAAAAAACAUAAUUUGACAAUUGGACUUGGAUCAAGUCUGAACCUAACCAAUUUGAAUCUUGGACUAAAUAAGGUGUUGACAUAUAUUUUUUGCUACCCAAAGCCCUCUUACUCGUCCAAUUAAGCACCUAGCUGGCUGAUUUGGUUGUUAUAUCCAUAUAAAGUUGCCAUGUCAUUUGUCACACUAUAAAUAAAUUUAUAGUGGUUAAUGCAUCUAUCUUUUACAACUAGUCAAUGAUGCAUCUCUUGACAAGUUAUUCUCAUUUGCCAUAUGUCUUUCUUUGAUUGGCUUGUAUAUUUUGAAUGUAAACAAUGCCCCCAAAUACUUUCAUUUUUGCGACGCAUAAAAGAUGGUAUUUUAAAUUUCAAUGCCAUUUUCAUUUUUUACUAUAAUUACCUUUUGAGUGGCCAAUGUAAGCAUAAAAUUUUACACCUUCAUAACAUAUUCUUUCAAAAGUUUUUAGGCACUUAAAAUCAUUUUUAGACCUUGGUAAUUUUUGGCAAAAAUCAAAAUUGAUGUAUUGCUAAUGUGUUAAGGUUUAUUUUGAAAUCAUGUAGCGAACUUUUACCUUAAUAUUUAUGUUGUCUUAUUUUACAUUUCAUAACUUUUUAGAUGCUUUAAAUUAUUAGACAAACUUUAUGUUUUUGGAAAAAGCAUUCCAUUCCUUUUCUUUUGAUGUAUUAUAUGCUCAAAUAUGAUUAAAAUUAAAUUAAGAUAGACUAAAAUACAAAACAUAUCCUAAAAUUUCAUGUACUUUUAGUAUUUUUAUCAUAUCUUGUAAAAUACUUUGAAUUUUUUAGUGAAACUAAUUUCACUAGAAUCUAGAAUUUUUAAGCUUUCCAACAAUAUAAAGAUCACUCAAUUCAGAUAUUGGAUGAGAAAGUUAUAGCCAUUUGAAUUUAGGCAUGUGACACUGAAAAUGAAGUGCCAAUUGGCAAUUACAAAUGCUAAUUGAUGCACCUUAAUUUUAUUCAAAUUUCAUGAUUAAUAUUUUAUUUUCAGAAUUUAUGCUUACAAAAUGAAAUUAGCAUAUGAUAAUUAACUUUUUGGGGGAUAAAAAUCUAAAAUAAAUCCCAUAAGGAGAUAAUCUAGCUAUAAAUAUGAUUUUCCUAAAAAUAUCUCUUAAAAAUUAAUCCCUAGAAUUAUCCUCUCAUCUUAUAGAGUCUAACUUUGAUCUGCAACACUUAGCCCUUACUAUAAAUAGCCCCCCUAGUUUUUCAUUCAACACACUUCAAGUAUUUCUCUUAUCUUUUCCUAAUAAACUUAGUUUUAAGCCUUCCUUAAGUUUUGCAAAAUUAAUAAGGAAUCCUUUUAAUUUCCAUCGUUUCUAGCCUUUAUUAUGUGCUUUUCAACCAUCCACAAUCACCAAAAUAGCCUUAAGCCUUAGCCUAAACCUAUUUUUUGUCUUGAAUCUUUGCUUGAUGAUAUGUUAAAACCUUAAAAAACCUAAAAUAAAACUUCAACCGAUUAGCACACUCCUUAGUCAAUCAGCACCAACCUUUUGAGAUGCCAUCUUACCUUUAUUUCAUUAGUUCCUUCUAUACCAACAUAGGCCUUAUCCCCACCACUUCAAGACAUCAUCCACUACUUAGACACCCAACCAAAACUUGCUUUAAAGCUCUAGUCUAAUCAAAACUUUCAGUCCAACCAAAAUUUUUCUUUAAAAGUCCUAAUUCCACCAAAGCUCUUCUUAAGAGUCCUAAUUCUUUCAAAACUUAAUCUGAAGAGUUUGCAUCCGACUAAAAUUCUUUCAAAGAGUUUUGAUCGACUAAAGCUUUACCCAAUGAUCUAGAGAGCCAUAGUCAAGGAGAAACUCUACUAAACCUUGCUCACUGUCCCAAACCUACAGUUAUCAUAUUGGAUCUUGUAUUAAAUUGAUCUACUCAAAUAUAAUUCCUACAAACCUUUAGAUAUUUUAAUUCUCUCAUUAAAUUAUGAUCAUGUUGACAUAUCACCCAUGAUCAUGCCUUAUGUAGUCUUAGCAAUACAUGAUGGUAUGCCAUACAAUUGAAAAUAAAGUUUAUUUUACUAUUAAAGAUUGUGAAUAUUUUUCAUGUAAAUCCACAUUCAGUACAUCAUGCAUUAAUCUAUCAUUUAUAUUAAGUAAAAAUAUUAUGGUAUAUUAAAUUAAUAUCCUUUUAAGGAAUAUUUUAUAUAAACUGUCAUUAUGAUAUGCCAUUUAGAUUAAGUUGCACUUCGUAAUUCUCUAGUUACACUUUCACCCCAUCCUUUCGCACCCUAGCAUUGGUAGGGACCCUAAAAGUUGCCUUUGCUUUUGGUGUUCUCUCAUAGAUUUAAAUAUUUCACCCUUACACACAAAAUUCCCUUCUCCUUUGUCUCACUCAAAUGAAUUGGUUUCUAGAGCAUUUCGCCCAUUUUUGGAGACUUAUAGAGUUAGAAAAGUUAGCUUUGGCAUAAGAUCUGGAUUGGUAUUUUCAAAAUGAAUUGUUAUUUUUAAAUAUAUAUUUUUUGAUAACACGGUAUUUGCAUAAUUUAACAAUUGAUAAAUCACUCAAUUGUUUUUUUUUUAGAUGUAUACAUGAUAGCACAUGACAUAUAAAAUUAUACAUAUCUCAUUGCUUGCUACUAGGUACAAAAUGAAGAGACAUAUUCUUUAAUUUGUAAGCUUAUCAGGGUGUUAGUAUUGGAUAAAUAAAGUAUGGGUUUAUCCUAGAUAGCUUUUGGAGUUUUAACUCCUAUAAUGUCAUGUUUACAAUAUCUGAAUCAAGUUAUUUGGUAAAGAUGAGACUAUGACUUUGAAACUGGUAUCGAUUUUUAGGAUAUAAAUAAAUUGAUUGUUGACUUCUAAUCAGACCUAGGAUUUCAACAUUGAAAUGAGCACUGGGGAUGAAACUAGCACAACUCCAAUUAAUGACUAUUAAAGUCCAAAUAAAACUCCAAUUAAGCCAUUAGAAUCUAACUUUUUUUUUUUUCACAAUCUUUAUUUCCUUCUUUCUCUUUCCUUCGUGAUUCUACUUCUUAUCUUCAAUUUUCCUUAAAACAUAAAUUCUUCCCAAUUCUUUCAUAAGAUCAUGGCUAACAUGCUUUCUACCAUAGAUGAACUAAUAUAACUCUCAUCAAUCACAAUUAAUUAAAAGAGCACUAUCUACGAUUAAGGCUUCUACCAUUAAUACUUUCCCUUUUAAGAGGCAAAAAAGUGAUGGUAUUUUAAAUUUCAAUGCCAUUGUCAUUUUUUACCACACUACUACUUGAUUGGCUAAUUAAUGCAAUUAGAGUGCAAAUAAAACUCUAAUUAAGCCAUUAGAAUUCAACUUUUUAUUCAUAAUCCUUAAUUUUCCUUUCAAUUUCUCUUUCUUUCUUGAUUAUACUUUUUCUCUUCAGUCUUACUUUAGAACUCAAAUUCCUCCCAACCUUUUCUUAAGAACAUGGCUAUUGUGCUUUCCACCAAAGAUGAACUAAUGCAUUGAUCAUGAUUAAUUGCUACAAAAAAUCACUAUCCAUGAUUGAUGCUUUUAUAAAAAAGAAAAAACAACUUUAAAGAUGAGAAAAUAAUUUGCUUUUUUUAAAAUUCCAUUCAUCAUCUUCUUUAUUCAACUUUAAUUUCUACAAAACAUGAUCCCUUCUACAAUCGAUGUAGAUGACUAGGAGAUGGAUGUUUUCGCCAACAUUGCCCAGUUGUUGUAUCAACCCAUAAUCGAACCACAGAUGAAGAAACAAAUCAUCCAAUAGUGAACUUUAGCAUUGUUCUAUAAUGAAAUUAUAGGAUAUUAGAAAGGUGACAUAAUGUUAGGCAUAAAGGAGUCUAAGUUGAUUAAAGAUGUGGGAUAGCAAAAGGAAGCUAAGCUGGCUAAAGCUUUUGGAAGUUCUAAAAGGACCAUGUAGGUGGCACUCACUACAAAAAAUAAUUAAGGAAGUGGUAUAACGGUUACUAAGUUAGCAUGAUUAACCAAUUAGUUAUAUGGAUGGCUACUAAUAAUUAUUGGUUGUACAACUAUCCUAGUUUUAAUCAUUUUAGCCCCUUAUUGUUAGCAUCGUGAUGUAAGCAAUGAGAGAAUAUAAACCAUUGUAUACACAUAUUAAAGUAUGAAUGAAAAUUUGUGAAUUCUUCUCUCAACUUUUAGUCUAUUAUUUCUUCUUUUUUGAUAUUCUAUUUCUUCUUUUUGUUACAUCAUAAAUUGGUAUAAGAGCUUUUUUAGAUCCAUUAAUGCUACAAAAGAGUAAAAAAAAACAAAGCUCCAUGGUAAAAGGUACCAAAUUCAAUGUACUUCAAGAGCAGAUGCAAUCAUUUCAGGGGCAGAUGUAAUAUUUUCAAGGGUAGUUGGAUUCCAUUUGACCUUUAAAAUCACUUGUUCCUAAAUGAUGGGAGGAGCAAUAGAAAAACCUUAAACCUAAUCUUAAAGCUAAGCUUAAGGCUAAGUUUGCUGUAAAUCAAGAAUACACCAUUCAAGUGUUUAAUCUACUAAUGCCAAAAGAAGCUACUCAAGUUCAAUUGGAACCAAGAGAAGUUUCUAAUGCUGCCAACAACUAAGUAAACAUAGCUUUUCAAUCUAAAAAGUUAGGUAAAGCCCUUAUCAAAGUAAUAAUAGUGGAUGAUCAAGGGAAAUGCACUUUUAAUUUUAAUGCACUUGGGCUAUUAACUAAUAAUCAGCUUGAAACUAGUGGCUAUUUUUCACCAAACUAUGUUGGAAAUACUUCCUGUACUAUGGCAAAUGCUUUCUCUCCCAAACCAAAAAUAGAACUAUCCAAUUUUUAUGGGAUAUCCUAAAGGUUAACUUAAAAAAUGUCAAAAAUAUUUUGCCACUUUUCUAUCUUUAAUCAUAAUAAAUUAGAAAUAGCUACUAUGUAUCUAACUUGAAAAGCUGAAGUAUGGUUUGAUAGGUAUGUCAUGUAACAAGGCAAAGUAACUUGGCAAGAGUUUUCCACUAAUUUAUGCCAUAGGUUUUGUGAUCGAACCUAUUUAGAUAUAGUGGAGGAAUUAAAAAGCUAAAAUGUGGUUUGAUAGGUAUGUCAUGCAAUGAGGCAGAGUAACUUGGCAAGAGUUUUCCACUGAUUUAUGCCAUAGGUUUUAUGAUCAAACCUAUUUAGAUAUAGUGGAGGAAUUUAACAAACUAAAUCAAAAGGCAUAUGUAAAGGACUAUAAAAAAAAAGUUUAAGGAGCUUAAACCAUACAUGUUAUAGUAUAAUCCUUAUUUGACUAAAGAUUCUUUUGUUUUCAGUUUCAUCAAUGGUCUCAGAGGAGAACUGAAGCUCAGGGUUAAAGCAAAUGAACUAAGCUCCCUUUCUACUACCUACAAACAAGCCAAAUUAUAGGAUUUAUCCUUUGAAUUUGAGAAUAAAAGACACAAACUGAUUCCUAAGCUUAUAUUCACCUUAAACAUUGGCCCUUAUCCAAAACCUAUCCAUUCUUUAACCAACCAUCAGCUUAUGGAGCAAAUGAAGGCUCAAAAUUUAUGCUUUAUAUAUGGAGACAAGUUUGUUCCAAGUCAUGUUUGUAAAGCUAAACAACUUAAUGUCCUUACAAUUGAUGAAUUAGAUAAAAAUGAGGAAUAAGAAGUUGUAGAUGAAGAAAGUGAUUAGUUGAUAGCUAAAUGGAAAAAUGAUCUUGACAAUAUACAAAUAUCUAUCAAUGUUUUUAUUAGUAACCUCAGUCUUAGCACCCUAAAAAUUGAAGGGAAUAUCAGAGGUAAAUCUCUUAAUAUCCUUAUAAAUAGUGGUGGCACUCACAAUUUUGUGACUCUAAGAUAAGCAAAAGAUGAUGUAAAAGUCAAGCAAACCCAUCCUUUAGCUAUUGCAAUAGCUAAUGGAGAUAAACUCUUAAGUAAUGUAAGGUGCAAAAAGUUACAUUGGGUGAUGAAAGGGCAUGCAUUCUUACAUGAUUUGAGAGUUUUGCCAAUGAGAGGUAGUGACAUGGUUUUUGGUGUUCAUUGGAUAAAGAAAUACAACCUUCUGAUAUUUAACAUCAAUAACUUAUCUACUACAUUUCAAAGGGAAGGACAGCCAAUUACCUUUAAGGGUAAUUAGAAGCAAAUUGACCUUAAACUAAUUUCAAGUAAAAGGUUACAAAAACUAGUUAGCAAGGAGCCUAAGCUACCUGGGGAACUUUACAUGAUCAAUAUGGAUAGUGAAAGAGAAGGAACACCACUAGAGUUAUAAGAUUUACUCUUAACCAAUUUGGACAUAUUCAAAGAACCAACCAAAUUGCCACCUAAGAGGUCUUACAAUCAUAACAUACCUCUUAAAGUGGGGACCCAACCUAUCAAUCUCAAGCCUUAUAAGUUUCCCUAUCAUCAAAAGGUUGAAAUAGAGAAAUAAAUUUUAAAAAUGCUAGCUUCUUCUAUCAUUCAAACUAGUAAGAGUUUCUUUGGCUCUCCCAGCCUACUGGUUAAAAAGAAAAUUGGCUUUUAGAGACUUUGUAUUGAUUAUAGAUAACUCAAUGCAAUGACAAUUAAAGAAAAAUUUCAAUUCUAGUGGUAGAAUACUUGUUAGAUGAACUUAAAGAUGCCAACUAUUUCUCAAAAUUGACUUAAGUUCUAGCUAUUGGCAAAGUUGAGUCAAUAACAAGGACAUUCCAAAAAUAAUCUUCAAAACACAUCAUGGGCACUAUGAGCUCAAGGUAAUGCUCUUUGGGCUUACAAACGCACCAGCUACUUUUCAGCCAAUGAGGAAUGAUGUCUUUUCCCUUUACUUAAGAAAAUUUGUGUUAGUAUUUUUUUGAUGAUAUACUUGUAUAUAAUGUUACAUUAGCAAACCAUGUUUCACAUUUGAGGCUUGUUUUUCAAAUAUUGAGAUCUGCCCAGCUAUUUGCCAAGAAAAAAUAAGUUUUUUUUUUUUUUUGCCAAAGAUAGGUGGAGUACCUUAGUCAUAUUUGAUUUGUAGAGGGAGUGGCUAUUGAUCUAGCCAAGGUGGAAGCUAUGAUGAAUUGCCACUACCUAAAAGUAUAAAGUUCUUGAGAGGAUUCUUGAGCUUAAAUGGUUACUAUAUGAAGGUCAUCAAAGGGUAUAGAGUGAUAAGCCAACCACUAACAGCCAUGUUAAAGAAAGAUGGUUUUGCUUAGACUUUUGAUGCAUUGAUAGCUUUUCAACAUUUAAAGGAAGCGAUAAAUAAAGCAUCAAUACUAGCAUUACCUAAUUUCUCAAAGCCCUUUUGCUUGGAAAGAAAUGCUUGUAAGGAUGUCAAUUUUACCCAUACCUAAUGGAAACCUAAUUUUUUACCCGAAUGGGAAUAGGGAUGGAGAUGAGUAUGAUUUUAAAUUUUUUACUGAGUACAAAGAUAGGGAUGGGUAAUAUAGCACCCUCCUUGUACUCGUACUUGUGCCCAUACUCUGCAUAUAUAUUUAUACAUAUAUUUAGUAAAUAAAUUUUUUAUUAAAUAAUAUAAAUUAUUAUUUUAAAUUAAUUAGAACUAAUAUAUUUUUAUUUAAUAUAUAUAUAUGAAUAUAUUUAUAAAAAUUACAUAAUAUGCAAGAUAAAAAGUUUUAAAAAAAGUUAAAAGAAUACAUUUUGGUUUUUAUUUUUUAAAAAACCUAUAGAUACAAAGAUUAUCCAUACAUAUUAAAUUCCUACAGGGAUGAGGAUGUGGAUAAAUUUAAAAUACACAUUAGGCAUGGAUAUAUGGAUGGAUAGGAUAUAACAAUUUGGGGAUAAGGAUGGGGAAUACUUUACCCACCCCAUAUCCUGCCUAUCGACAUCCCUAGAUGCUUAUGCUACAAGAGCUAGUACAGUCUUAUCAUAAAAAGAAAGAGAAAUGGCUUACUUGAGUAAGGUUUUGGGACCAAACCAUGUAGACUUGUCUACCUAUGAGGAAGAGUACUUUUAACCAUUCUAAUAGCUAUAGCAUAGUGUAGACACUAUUUUGAAAGGGGUCCUUUAUCAUCAAAACUAACCAUGAAGCUUUAAAACAUUUGUUGGAACUGAAGCUAUCAACAACCAUCCAAAAAAAAGAUUGACAAAACUAUUGAGGCUAAACUAUUUAAUCUAGUAUAGAAGGGGCAAGCUAAAUGUAGUCUCAGAUGCAUUAUCUAGACAACAUAAAGAGGAAGAGAAGUUACAAAGUUUAGAUGCUACUAUUAUUAUGUCGAGAUAGGUCAUUGAAAUUGAAUAGAGUUAUAAAGGGGAUGAAAUGGUUCAAGAGAAUAUCAUAACUCCCAUAAUCAACCCUAUUAGGGACUCUCAGUGCUUAUUCACUAAUGGGAUACUCAGGCUUAGGAGAAGAAUUUACUUGGAAAGUCAAGGACAAUUGGGGACUUAGAUUUUACAACUACUUAAUGACUCUCCUCAAGGUGGCCAUUCAGGGAUACAAGCCACUCAUCACAUGCUCAAACUUAUCACAUGCCCAAACUUUAUUUCUACUAGCCUAAUAUGAUGAAACAGGGGCAAGAAUACAUCUAGCAAUGUGAGGUUUAUCAAAGGAAUGAGGAUAAGCAUAUUGUUUAUCCAAAAGUCCUAUAAUUGAUUCUAGUUCUAAAACAAGCAUGGGAGUUAAUCACUAUGGAUUUUGUGGAAAGACCACCUAAAUCUUAGAAGUUUAACUAUGUUAUGGUAGUCACUGAUAAGUAUACUAAAUAUGCCUAUUUUUUAGCCUUAUCUCAUCCUUAUACUGUCCUUAACUAGCCAGAUUAUAUUUGGAUCAAGUUUAUAAGCUUCAUGGAGCCCCAAAAGCUGUAAUUUCAAAUUGAGAUAAACUUUUCACUAGUGCUAUUUGGCAAAAGCUCAUAAAGUUAUCAUCUUGAGUCUAAUAAAUAGUCUGAAUGACUUAAUCAAUGCUUAGAGUAGUAUCUACGAUGCAUGUGUUCAUACAAGCCAAGAACUUAGGCUUUAGUGGUUACCUUUAGUUAAAUGGUGGUAUAACACAAGUUACCACUAAGUUUUUAAAAUGACCCCUUUUUAGGCUUUAUAUGGGUAUCAACCACUUGGAUUUUUUUAGGAUGCUAGUAGUAAAGCUAGAGUCUCCAUUAUUGAGGUACUAUUAAGAGAUAAAGAAAGGUUGAGAAAAUUGCCAGUGGAUCAAUUAGAAAAAAGCUCAAAGUAGAAUGAAGUACUAUGUUGACAGUAAUAAGACUAAAAGAGAGUUUUAGGUUUUGAUGCAUUAUAUUUGAAGCUCCAACCUUAGAAACAACCUUUCGUAGCACUCAAAAAAAACUUAAAAUCUCUGUAAGGUUUUAUGGACCCUAUCUUAUAAUGGCAAAGGUUGGUAAACUAGCUUAUAAGCUUCAGCUACCUGAGUCUUCAAAGCUACAUCUAGUCUUCCAUGUUAGUCUUCUAAAGAAGAAAGCUGAAGCUAUGGUUAUUCCUAACAUACCCCUAUUUGAGGUAGGAGAGGAUGGACAACCCCUGGUUUACCUUGUAGCAAUACUGGAUAAAUGGAUGGUUAAAAGAAACAACAAGGUAAUCAAUCAAUAAUUGAUAGGAUCAUCAAAUUUGGGUCCAGAGAAUGCUACAUGGGAAUAUUUUUCAGUUUUCAAAUCAUAGCUUCAAUAUUUUAAUCCUUGCGACAAUAAUUGUUUCAAGGAGAAGGUAAUGUGACAAAAUUGCAAUCAUAUCCUAAAGGUGACAUGACGUUGGGUAUGAAAGAAGCUAAGCUAGCUAUUGAAAGAUGUGGGAAAGUAGAAGGAAGCUGAGUUGGAUAAAGCAUCUAAAAGUUCUGUAAGAAUUAUACAAGUGGCACUCGUUAUAUAGAAUAAUGUAAGAAGUAGUGUAACGGUUACUAAACUGGUAGGAUUAACCAAUUAGUUAUAAGGAUGGUGUUUGAUGAUUGUUGGUUGUACAGCUGUCCUAGUUUUUAAUUGUUUUAGCCCCUUAUUGUUAAGAUCAUGAUGUAAGCAAUAAGAGAAUAUAAACUAACAAAUGCAUAAAUUAAAAGUAUGAAUGAAAUUUGUGAAUUCAACUUUCAACUUCUAGUCUUUUAUUUCUUCUAUUCUAGUAUAGUAUUUCUUCUUUUUGUUACAUCACUUGUACCAUUUAAAUGUUGACCUCACCAAAGCCAUGGAUAUCUUGAACAAAUUCAUAAACAAAACCCUUAAUAAAGCAAGCAGUGUCUCUAAUCGAUCACCAUUCUUGUAGCUUCCAACUCUCCCAGAAAAGAUACAAGUCUAUCUAUUGAGUAAAGGCAGUAUAAAAAACUAAAAUAUCCUACAAAUAGGUCUAGAGCACUUGAGGUGGAGAAUAGUGAGCCAGCCCUAACUCAGGUACACAAAUUUGAUUAAUCUUUUUUUUUCCCUUUUAAUUUAUUUUCAAUACCUUUCCAAAACAAUGUGUUCUUCUAUAAUUAAAAACUAAAAUUUAAAAACACCCUUUCAUUUUCUUCUAUCUUUUUCUAUCUCUACUUUCUUUUUUUUUACACUCCCUCUUUCCUUUAUCGACAAACCUAAACCUAAAUUCUAAUAAUAAAAAUAUAUAUAGAAUCAAUUGUUUAUCAUCAUUCACUACCAUUUGUUGGCAACCAAACAUUACAAAACAUUUCUUUUUAAAUCUUCUCCACUUCCCUACAUUUCAAUUGCAUUAGAUUUUUCAAAAACUCCUUACCAAAAAAUAUACUCAAUACCCCUCACUGCCAAUUUUGCCUUUUUCAUUAAUUAAACAAACCGAAACCACCCUGAAACCUCAAAAAGCUUUUUUUUUUUGUAGAUAUUGCCUUUUUCUCACUUUUUUUUUGGUGAAUAAUGUGUUUUCUUGAAUCAAUGUAUGUUUAAUGGCUAUCCUUUGCUAAUCAAUUUGCAAAAAAAAAAAAUUUAGGGCUUCAUAAUGGAAAAGAUCGAAGCUAUUGACAUAUUCGAUUCUAAUUUUUCUUCUCUUUUAUUUUCAUUUUAUUUCCUUUGUUUUUCCAAUCUUUUCCCCCAUUUUUGUUGUUUUUUCUAUAAUUCCUAUUUUGAUUUCAUUCUUGUUUCCAUUUCUCAGUUCUGAUUUCUUCCCCUUUCAUUUUCUUUGUUUUUUUUUUUAGAUGUUUUCAUAAUUUUUUCAAAUAUUUUCUAAUUUCCAGAUUUUUUUUCAUUUUUUGAUAUUUUAAUUUUAUAUUUUAAAUUUAAAAUAGACUAGAUAAAUAAAAUGAAAAGAAGAGAUUAUUUAAUUUUUUACCAACCAACAUACAUUCAAGUUCUAAAGCCUAAUUAGCAAAUUAAACUUCAAACCAUUAAAUAAACCAUAAAAUAAAUUAUCUAACGUAAUAAAAACAUUCAUUAUAAACACAACUUUCAAAUAUAGUUUUGAUUCGAAUCAAAGCAAACUUGAAUUAAAUCCAAAAAGCCUAAAAAAUUGGACUAAUAUUUCAAUUUAAUUUAAUUUGAAUUGUUAAAAAAACUAUAUCGACGAGCGUAGACAAUAUGAGAUGUUCAUUAAGUGGCUUGAAUUUUUUUUAACAUCUUUUGAUUUUCAAAUAAAAUAAAUUCAAGCAUUAAAAUUAUUUAGAUAAUAAUAUUUUAAUCUCACUAGUAAAAUCCUAACAAUGAUUUAUAUAAGAAAAUAAUUAAAUCUGUAUUUUAUUUAUCAUAUAAAUUUAUUAACUUUCUAAAAUAUAAUCUAGUAAAUAACAAGUUUUUCUAAUUUUAUUUGUUAUAUUUUAAAGGAUAAAUGCGUAAUUAAGGAUGUAAUGUUUAAAUAUUUUCUCAAUUAAAGAUAUCAUCUUUAUUUUGGUUAAGUAUGCGAGUAAACAUUUUUGAAUUAGUUCAAAUAAUGUAAACCAUGUAUGUUGAAAUUGAGUGAAACAAAUUAUAUGUUCUUACUUGGUAAGAAAAUAAAGGUAAAAUUGCUUUUUUCCUUUUAACUUUUUUGCUAGGAUUGAAUAAAUUUAAAAAGUCAUAAUUGAAAUAGUAAAUUAAGUUAAAGAGGUACUAUAGUACUAGAUCUUUUAAAUAAAUUCAAAACCAAGUUUUACCUUUUAAAAUAACUACAACCACCGCACCAAAAAACAGCAACCUAAAUUGCUCAAGCCAACUUUUCUUAAAAGUUUAAACCUUAAAAAAAUUACUUUAAAUCUAUGUUAAUUUAGCAGUAUAAGGAUUCUCAACAAAAUCAAAGUAUUCAAAAUAAAAAAAAAAUCAAGAGAGAAAAAAAAAAGGCAUGGAGGAAGGCUCAGGUAUGGAAUAAUAUUAGGUAAGAGAAGUUUUUUUGUCCGUUAGUGAAUGAUGAAAAGAUAAAGGAAAGGGAGAAAAAGAAAAACAACAUUGUCAGAGAUGCUUUGCUAGUGGCAGCUCAUUAUGGCAAAAAAAAAAAGUUUAGGGUAAUUUGAAAUGGUCAAAGUAGAGGAAAAGUGGAAAAGAAAAACAUAAUGAAAAACAAGAAAUUUGAAGCAAUGAAGGUGAGAUUUUUUGGGAUUGAAAUCAUGAAUCUUUUUCAUAGAUUUAGGCAUUUUCAAUUUUUUUUGUUGAAAAUUUAUUUAAUUAAUGUGAAAGAGGGUCAAGAUGGAUCAAUGGAUAAAUUUUAAGCUUAUUCCAACAUUGAUGGUUGAUGAUGUAACCUGAUAGAAACAAUGAUGUCUAAUAAUACCUAAAUUUAUAGUAUUUUACAAGUUAAAAUGGGUCUAAAAUUUUAAAUUUUAGUUGAAUUUGGUGCUGUUAAUGUUAUUUUCUUGAUUUUUAAGGUUUAAGACUAUGGAACAUGAUUCAUAUGCAAUCUAUGCAUGCAAGCAUACAAGCAUACAAGCAUACAAGCAUACAAGAUAGUAGUCGGCCAUGCAAUAAGGAUGACUAGCUGAAAUCACCCUAUUCAAUACAUAUAACCCAGGCUGGCAAAAUCACCCUUUCUUGUAAUCAACCUAACCACCAACCCACCAACCAAAACAAGUUUCGGCUUAAUCCACAAACCUAUAACCUACCCUAAGAAAAGAGACCAAGUUUUCAGGAAAUGUUAAUCCAACUGAUGCAAGCCAACAAUGCAACCAUCCAAAGCAAAGCUAUAUCAAUAAAGAAGCUUGUAAACUAAAUUGGUCAACUUGCACAAGUCAUAGCCAAUCAACCUAUAGAAACUUUGCCCAACAAUACUAAGUCAAACCCUAUGAGACAAGGUAAGAAAGCAUGCGAUGCUAUAUGCUCAUUUAGGGAAGAUGGAAUGGAUGAGGAUAAUGCAAAAAUUAUGGAUGACCCAGUGGUGGCAAAUCUCCAUAGUUUUGUUAAGCAACUUGAAGUGGACUUUGUAGGGAUAGAUGAUCCAAUAGAGGAUGAUGAGCUGUUAAGGUAUGGAAGAGAAAUUUUGAAAAGUUUUGGUCAUAUGGCACUUGAAGCACCUAAAAGUAUUGAACCCUAUAAAAAGAUAGAAAAAAAGUUUGAAAUGGAAGAAGAUCCUGAAGAAUAUGAGGAGGAUCCUAAAGAAUUCAUUGAAGGAUUAGUUGAAGAAUGAGAGAUGUUUAUGCAAGUAGGAAGAGCACUUUUGGAAAGCAUUCAACUUGAGAAGGAGUAAGAAGAAAUUCAUAAAACCAAAAAGCUAAGAUCGACGCCAAGAACUAUCACUCAAAAACAAGAAUUUGAAAUAGCACUACCAACAAAGACUAUCCUAAAAAUGCUACUCAAAGAGUUGGAGAAUGCCUCUUUUGUUAAAGAUUGCAGUCCUGAACUUUAACAACUCUUUCCAAAAAAGCAAAAAGAUCCAAGGAGUUUCACUAUCUCUUGUAGAAUUAGUCAUCUAAAAUUUGAUGAAACUCUUUGGGAUUUAAGGUCUAGUAUCAAUCUAAUGCCUUUAAAUAUUUUUAUGUAGCUAAGAUGUGAAAAGCAGAACUUUCAACAUGUACCUUCAAAUUUACUAAUAAAUUCGCCAAGAAACCAUAAGGAAUGCUAGAGAAUGUUUUGGUGAAAGUUAGUAAGUAUGCUUUUCCUGUGGAUUUCAUAAUUCUAUAUAUGGAAGAUAAUGAAGCUCUUUUGCUAUUAAGCAGAUCCUUUUGAUUAACCUUCAAAGCUUUAGUUGAUAAGUAUGACUAUGACCUUACCCUAAGAUUUAAGGAUAAAAAGAUAUAGUUUGUAACUAGUUGGUAUGGCAUUCUCAGAGAUGAAGAUGAUGCAAACUUAAUAACCAAAGUAAAAGUAAAAAAAACACCCUUAGAGAGUUGGAUUUGACUUAUAAACCUCAUUACCCAUUAUCAUCAGUCCACCUGGCAAGAUCUUUAAACGCCAGCCAUGGUAAGCCUAAAACCAAAACUCUUAUAGUGAAUGCCAGUCCAAUUUAUAUUAUCCCUACAAAGAGAGUUACUACACCUUCUUAAUCUAGUUCCACUUAUGUCAUACCACAAGGGAACAUGUAGUAAGGAAAACUCCCUCUUGAAAAGAAGAGAUGACUUUUAGAUUUAGGGAUGGUCAAGCUUGACCAAAACUAGCGUUACUUUGGAGGCAACCCAAGUUUCACUUUAAUGGUUUAUGCAUUUAUUUUUUUUUUGUUUUAUUCUUAGGAUUGGUAUGCUUUGAUAUGUUUUUGUAUUUUAAUGCUUUUGUAAGGUGAUGCAAGGAGAUGAUCCAUGAAGAACACAAAGAUGAUUCAGCCUUAAAGCAAAAUUUUAGGGGAGUAUUUCUUUUUCCUAAAGGCUUAAUAGAUUUGAUUUAAAAUAGUGCUUAAUGUAAGUGUAAAGGAAAAUAAUGCUUUUUAAACUUAGAUGAUUUUUGAAAUCUUUACCCUUAUUGCUUCAUUUUCAAACCCAAUUGGCAUGCUAACUUCUUUGUUAUACAAGCUUAGUUAAUUUAGCAUGAACUUUUCAACAUUGACUUAAGUAUGAUAUGAGGAUAAUUGUGAAUGUGGUUAAGCAAUGAAAUGAAUUCAUAAGUUUGCUUUUCUUUGGAUACGGUUUUUAUGCAUAUGUCUUUAUUCUCUUUCUAUGAAAUGCAAUAAUUCUUGUAAAAAGUUUUAUGAUGUUAAGUUGCAAAAAAAUGUGAAGAUAAGACUAUUACUUUAGAAUUCACCUACUCAACCCUUGAGGCAAAAUUCUAGACUAUAUUUGACUUAAGAAAUGAUCUAGUUAUUUCUUUAGAUCGUUUGAUCCUUUUUCAAGCCCACUAUUAUUGAUGCAUCCCUAGGAACUUUUAUUUUGAGCUUUAUAAAUUAUCAUUCCUUUGUUUAUUUCAGCUAUAAUAAUAAACCCAAGCCUUUUAUUUGAUUAUUAUCACUUUUUUCUAUUUUUACCUACCCAAUAUUCUUACAUGUUUUUGGACAUUGUUUAUUUAGAAGGAAGGCACAAGGAAUGAAAACCAAAAUUGGCAAAGGAAAAGGAAAAAGCAAGGCAAAAGCCUAUAAAUAAAGCUGAAAAUGGCUAGGUGAAAAAAAAUAAUACCAAAAAUAAAGUAAUGCCUCAAAGUCAAAAAGUUCUUAAAUGUUCAAUCUUUAGUCAAAUAAUUUCAAGAAAUAAGCUAAGGGUUAUUGACCCUAAAUUUUCUUUUUCGUACCUUGACCCAAGCCUUACAUUACAAGCCUAAAAGACCUUUUGAUCAUGAAUCAAGUAUGUAAAUCUAAUAUUAGUGUAGAGGAAAGGAGAAAAUGAACAUAUGAAGUUUAUUUUACUUUGAGUUGAAAUGUGAUGAAAUAUUUUACAUUCUUUUUACUUGAUUUAUAUGUAUGAAUUAAAGAUGGGGUAAUUUCAUAUGCAUGGAGAUUAUUAGAUAUUGAAAGCUUACUUUAUGAAGGAAUUUCUUAUGAAUCUAUGUUUAUAGUUUACUUUGUAUUAUGCAACAGUACAUGAAUGAAAGUUUAUGAAAUUUUGACUUUGUGAGUAUAUAUAAUGAUCUUUAGUUUAAUUGAUUUGAGAAUUUUGCUUGAGGACAAACAAAGACUUAAGUGUGGGGGGUGUGAUAGCACCUAAAUUUAUAGUGAUUUUACAAGUUAAAAUUAGUGCAAAAUUUUAAAUUUUGGUAAAAUUUGGUGCUAUUAAUGUUGUUUUCUUGAUUUUUAAGGUUCUAGACCAUGGAACAUGAUUCAUAUGCAAUCCAUGCAUGCAAGCAUGCAAGAUAGAAGUUGGCCAUGCAAUAAAGAUGACUAUUUAAACAUUAUUGGCCUUCCAUUCGGCCAAGAGAUGAAUUUUACAUGCAUGAGGUCUUUGCAUCCAUUCAAGUAGAUCACUUCUAAGAAGAUGUGAUGUACAUUUGAAGAAUUUCACUUGCAUUAGGACACACUUUUAGAAAAAGAAAGAAGCAUUCAACACCACUAAUACCUACUCCUAUGGUAAAGGCAAAUAAUGAAAGGCAAAGAACUUUAAGGUACUAUGUAGUUUCUAAUGUAGAUGUUUUUUAGCCAUUCAUCCGAAGGCCAGCUAUUCAAACCAAUAACUUUGAGAUAAAGCCUUCAAUUAAAGAAAUGGUCCAAACUUCUAUGCAAUUUGGAGAACUACCAAGUGAUGAUCCAAAUUUACAUCUUUCUAAUUUUCUUAAACUUUGUGAUACUUUUCAUUACAAUGGUGUUUCUGAUGAGGCUAUUAGACUAAGAUUGUCAUCUUUUUCUUUUAGGGACAAAGUAAAAAAUUGGUUAUCUUCUUUACCAUGAGGCUCAAUUACAACAUAGGAUAAUCUAGUUUAGAAAUUUUUGGCAAAGCUUUUCCCACCAACAAAUACUACAAAGUUAAGGAAUGAGAUCACCACUUUUCUACAGGCUAAUGGUGAAACCUUAUAUGAUGAAUGAGAGAGAUUUAAAAAUUACAUAGAAAAUGCCUAUAUCAUGGUUUACCUCAAUGACUCCAAAUUCAAAUAUUUAAUAAUGGUCUCACACCACCCAUGAAAACCACUUUAGAUUCAGCUACUGGAGGGGCUAUAAUGAGCAAGGCUCCUGAGGUGGCUAAUGAGCUAAUAAAAAGAUGGAUGCCAGUAAUUACCAGUGGGGCAUGGAAAGAAAGGUUAGUAAAAAAUUUACUGGUUUAUUUGAAGUUGAUCUUAUUACUUCCAUUAACUUUCAAUUGGCUAUCCAUACAAAAAAAGAUUGAAGCCCUAAGAAACUAAACACAAGCCAACCCUAUUAAUGCCAUACAAAGUCCUUUUGUAUCUUGUGACAUAUGUAAAGGUCCUCAUUCCUCAGAAAGAUGCCAAUAUAAGGCAGAAUCUAUCUACUACAUCUAACAAAACAAAUCAAGUAAUAAUCCAUAUAGCAAUAACUACAAUCCUAGCUGGCAAAACCACCUUAACUUUUCUUAGAAUCAACCAAACCACCAUGCCACCAACAACUAAACCAACAACUACCACCCUAAUCCACCAUACUAUAACCCACCCUAAGAAAAAAACUACUUUUGAGGAUAUGUUGACUCGGUUGAUACAAGCUAAUAAUGCCUACAUUAAAGCCAACCUACAUUCAUAAAAAGCCUAGAAAUCAAAUAAGUCAAACCAUAGCCAAUCACCCAGUAAGUACUUUACCUAGUAACACUGAAACUAACUCUAAGAAAAAAGUAAAAAGGGAUGCAAUGCAAUAUAUUCUUUAGGGGAUGUUACGAUAGAUGAUUUUGAUGAAGAAGAUGAUGAACCCAUAGUUGUCAACCUACCCAGCUUUGUAAAACAACCUGAAGUCAAUUUUAUUGGCAGGGGGAUAUUUUGGAAGAUGAAAAGCUUGUAAGACUUGGUAGAGAAAUCUUGGAGGUUUUGACCCUAUGUCAUUAAAAGCCCCUGAAGCUAUUGAAACUUACGAGAUGGCCUAUGGGAAAGAUCCAGAAGCAUAUAUUGAAGGGUAUCCUUAAGAAAAACAAAUAAUACUACAAGUAGGGAAAGCAUUAGUAGAAAACAUUUUGCCUAAAAAGAUAGCCCAAGGUGCACCUAUCCAAAAUAACCAAGGAAAAGGGGUAAUGCAAUAGGAGGACCCCAAAUAAGAAGAUCCUAAAGAAUAAUAAUAAGAAGAAAUUAAAAAAAAGAAUUAGCAAAGGCCAAAGAUGACUGCUAGAAUGUACAGGUAGUGUUUCAAUGUUAACCUACCUACCCCAAGGCCUAUUCCUAAGGAGUUACUUAAAGAACUAAAAGAAACCAUAUUUUUAGAUGAUUACAACCCUGAGCUUCAACAACUCUUACCCAAAAAGUUAAAAGAUCUAGAGAGUUUUACUAUACCUUGCACGAUUGGAUUGAAAUUCUUUGAUGCACUUUGUGAUCUUAGUUCAAGCAUAAAUUCAAUGCCUAUGAAUGUUUUUAUGCAAUUAGGUUGUGGAAAGUUGAAACUUUCUAUAUUUAACAUUAAGUUUACUGAUCAAUUUACUAAGUUACCAUAAGGGAUGCUAAAAAAUCUCUUGGUGAAAGUUGAAAAAUAUGUUUGCCCCAUAGAUUUGGUUGUUUUAGACAUGGAGGAUGAACAAGCUCCCUUACUUUUCGGUAGACCUUUCCUAUUCACUACAAAAGCCUUGAUAGAUGUGUAGAAGGCUAGCAUUACCCUUAAGUUUAAACAUAAGAAAAUGUAAUUUAUAUUUGCAGGGUAUGGUGUGAUAAGAAAUGAAGAAAGUUUUAGCACAAUUAGGGAAUUUAAGGAAACCCUAAAAGAGUCUAACCUAUUAGUAAAACCUCUUGACUUUCUGAAAAACUUAGCAAACCCUAGCUCCAAUAUUGUCAACCUUUCCAAAAAGUUAAGCUCAGUUUAAUCCCUACUAGAAGAGUCAACCCACCUCUUUAAACUAAGUCUCUUUAUGUUAUACCGUAAAAAAAAAAAGACAACAAGGAAAAUUCCUUCCUAAGGGAUGAAAAGAUUUGAGGAUGGUUAAGCUUGAACAAAAGUAGCACUCCUUGGGAGGCACCCAAGUUCUAUUUUAAAGGUUAUGAUUUCUUGAUUUUUUUUUAGGACAAGUAUGUUUUAAUAUUUUUGUUUGAGUUUUUUUUAUUUCUUAGGGAUGAAGAAAAGCAAGGAAGAUGCAUCAUGGAUAUUCAACCUUAAAGAAUUUUAGGGAGUAUUUCUUUUUCCUUUAAGUUUCUUGAUAUAUGAUUCCAUUUAAAUGUAGGGGAAAAGAAUUAAUUUUUUUAUUUUAACUCAUCUUUGCUUUCAAAAGCAAAUUGACUUUCUAAGCUUCAUUAUGGUAUUCACUUAGUUGGAAAUUAUAUAUAUUCUCUUGAAUGACUAAAGUAUGAUAUGGAGUUUAAGUAUGGAUGUAGUGAAACUUGGAAGAAUUCUUAAGCAUGUCUUUACUUUGAAUAUGAUUUUUAUGCAUGCAUCUCUAUUAUCAUUAUAUGGAAUGCCAUAAUUCCUAUAAAGUUUUGUGAAAUAUAGAUUUGUAUGAAAUUUAAGAUUUGAAUAAGUGUUCUACUCAACCCUUUAGGCAAAAUAAUAAACUGUAUUUGACUCAAGAGAUGAUCUUGGCAGUUCUUUGGAUCGUUUAAGCCUUUUUCAAGUCUACCUUAUGUUUAUGUAUCCUUACUACCCUUAUUUUGAGCCUUUAUAUUAAUCUUUUUUUUUGUUUAUUUAACCACAUUACAAGCCCAAUAAGUUUUUUGUAUUAUUAUCCUUUCUUUUAUUGUCCUUACCCACUAUGCUUUACUUGUUUAUCAUAGACAUAGUCUUGUAUUUAAGAGGUAAAAAAGUGCAAGGAAAGCAUGAAAAUUGGCAAAAGUAAAAGUAAAGCCUAUUAAAGCCAAAAAUGGCUAUCAUUAAAAAAAAAAAAAGAGAAAAUGUAAAAAAUACAAAGCAAUAAAGAAUGCUUCACAAGUCAAAGUCUCAAAAAAAGUUCUCAAUUGUUCAAAGUCCAAGAAGUUUAAAGAAAAAGUCAACUUAGGGUUUUAAGCCUAAAAUUUCAUUUUUUUCUACCUUGACCCAAGCCUUACAUUAUAAGCCUAAAAGACCUUUUGAUUUUAAAUUGAAUAUAAAGGUCUAACAUUAAUAGAAAGGGAUGGGAAAAAUGGACAUAUGAAGCCUAUUCUAUCUUUAAAUUGAAAUGUGAUGAAGUGUUUUACAUUCUAUUUGCUUGAGUUGUAUGCAUGAUUUAAAGAUGGAGUAGAUUUGUAUGUAUGAUUAGCAUGAGUCACUGAAAGCUUGCUUUUGAAAGACAUGCUUGUGAUUCUAUAUUUAUUCUUAACUUUGUAUUAUGCAAUAGUACAUGUUAAAGAGUUUUGUAUAAUUUUUAACUUUGAAGAUGGUUAUGAUGUUUUUAGUUUUAUUGAUUUGAAAUUUUACUUGAAGAUAAGCAAAGAUUCAAGUGUGGGGGUGUGAUAGCACCAAAAUAUAUAUAGUUUUUACAAGUUAAAAUACUGUUAAAAUUUAAAAUUUUAGAUGAUUUUUGGUGCUUUUCAUGCUAUUUUCAUGGCUUUAGGUUUUUCAAGCAUAAGAUUCAUUUUCAUAUAAGCCAUGCAUGUAAUCAUGCAAAACUCACAUUCAACCUAACUAUGCAAGCACAAUGCCACACACCAUUGGUCCACAUUCAAUCAUGCCUAAGCCCAAUUGAAUCAUAAUCCAUUUGGCCAAGGUGGAUUUGCAAGAAAAAUGUGUUUGUUUGAUAAGCCAUGAAAUGAUUGACGUGCAUAAUGAUAGUAUCACAUUUGACUAAGCAAGAGGGACAGAGAAUUUGUAGACCAUGAACUCCCUAAGCUCAAUCCAUUUGGCUAAGAGGUGUUGGAAGCCAAUCAUGAUACUUUUUCUUUGUCUUAAAGAGUUUUGACAAGAUGAGAACUUUGUCACUUUGAUGUUCAAGAGUUUGAAUAAAAUGUAACUUAUCUCCUUUUGAAAUCUCAUCUUAGACAAACCUAAGAAGGAAGCUUGAUCAAGAUUACAUCAUAUGAAGAUCAAGGGCCAAGAUCAUUCUAUUCAGCCAAAGCAUUUCAAAAAUGAAGAGUUUGAUUUUUGUAUGCAACUUUAAAGAUUAAGAUAGAGCUUUAUCUCCUAGUUUUGGAAUUAACUUCAAUCACUUGUAAAGCCCACCAUUUUGGCUAAACCUAUGCCUAUAAAUAGGCAAGGCUAUUCACUUGUUUCAUCGAUCCCUUUCCUCACUUUUCCUCUUUCUUUUAGUUUUUUUAGUUCUUUAUUUCUAGAGUUAAGGUAUUGGCUUAGGGGACAAAUUUGACAAUUACCAAGAUUUUUGUUUUUUAAAUCUAUUUUAAUCAAAAAGUUUUUUCAUUAGAAGAUUUAUUUUAUUAUUUUCUCAUUUAAAAAAUCUUAUUCUUGUUUUCUUUACUAUUCGGCAUAAACAAUCUUUCAUUUUUGUAGAUACCCUAAUCGAUUCGGACCCAAACCCAUUAGGCCUGGUCUAACAGGAUUUGGCCCUAAGUCCAUUAAGCCCAGUUCAAUGGGGAUAAGUAUUUAGGCCUAGGUGUUUAUUAUUUUUUUUAUUUUUUUAUUUUAGGAUAUUAACAAAAAAAAAGGGAAAAGAUAAAAUUUUGCUGUGUGAAUGCAUGUUGGUUUUUUUUGAAGGGAUUGAAUUUGUUUAAGGAAAAUCUGAAGUUUCAAAUAAUAUCAAAAUCUUGUCAAAGGUUGAGUUAAUCAGGGAUUUUUCUAAAUUUUCCUAUAAAAUUGGCAAAAAGAUUACAAAAAGAUUACACGAGGCAAAGAGAUCAUAUAGAACAAAGAUACAGGAGGAAAAAAAACAAAACAGAUAGAUCAGAAACACAUAGAGAGAGAAAAUUAGAAGUAGAAAAGAUAACAGAUAGAUUAAAAACAUAGCAAGCAGAGGGAAAAAAUUUUAGAGUUUUGUUAAAUAGAAAAAAAAAUUUUUGGAAAAUUUUCAGAUUUCGAUGAAAUUUUUUUACCUCGGUUGAAUUUUUUGACAGGUUUCCUAGAAUCUAGCCCAGAUUCCAGUGUCGGUAAAAUUUUUUGAUGACAUUUUGAUGAACCAACCAAGAUUCCAAUAACGUUUUUCAGAAUUAGGUGAAGAUUCAACCAAUGUUCAUCCGGGUAGAGAGAGAAAGAGAGGGAGAGGAAAGAAGGGUGAAGAGAGAGAGGAAAGAAGAAUUAUGCUGAAAAGGCUGAGAAUUAACCUUAUAUACCCAUUGAAAAUGACGUUGUUUUGGCCUUACUAAUCCCAUAGGAUCCGCGCAUUUUCAAGCGGGUGACCCGACCUGUAGCGUAACCCGAACCAGCAACCCGCGUCCCUGCCUAGGCUCAAACUGAGUCAAGCUGCAAAUUAAGCCGCCAAGCCGCACCUUUGAGUCGGUCUGUAUGCCUCAAGCCAAGCCGUUUCAUUCGUUGAGCCGAGCAACAUCAAGGUUUUAUUUAUUUAUUAUUAUUAUUACUAUUUUUGCUUAUUGACUAAAUUAUAAUUAUUUGGUAUUCCUUAUUUUUUUAAUUUUAAUUUUAAUUUUAAUUAAUUAUUUAUUUAUUUUUGUCAAUGAUUUUCCUAAAAUACAAAUUUCAAAAAAUAUAUAUAUUUUUGGGAAAAAGUUGAAAAUAUCAAUUUUCCUUAUAAAUAAAUUUUUUAAAAAAUAUUUCUAAUUUCUAAAAAAUAUUUUUGAGGAAAAGUUGAAAGUAUCAAUUUUUCUUGACAAUAAAAAUUUUUAAAAAAUAUUUUUUAGGAAAAGUUGAAAGUAUCAAUUUUCUUUAAAAAUAAAAUUUCUAAAAUAAAAAUUUUCAAAAGCAUUUUAAGGAAAAGUUAAAAGUAUCAAUUUUCCUUGAAAUUAAAAUUUCAAAAAAAUAUGUUAAAGGAAAAGUUGAAAGUAUUAAUUUUCCUUGUAUAAAAGCAAUGAGUGUUUUUUUUUUCUUUAUAUAUAAAACAAAAAGAAAAAUAUUUAUAUGAAAAGUCGAAUCAUUAUUAUUAUUUUUUUCUUUCUUUCUUUGAAAAAUUUUUAAAUGUUAAAUAAUCUGACGAUGGAGCCUCUGCAAGAAAAAUAAUAGUUUUCUUGUAUACUUUUGAGGUGAGGGAAUUUUCUUAAUUUUUCUACCAAAAGUAUUGGAGUCAAUUAAGAAUAAUUUAUAAUAAUUAAUUACUUGAUAAAUUUUUAAGGCUUAUUGGAUAACACGAAAUUAUGCUAGUACCAUCAUCUGAUGGGCAUUGUGAGUGUGCUAUAACCUUUCUCAUACGUAACUGUACUAUCGGACCUAGUCUUGGUUUCACAGACAUUGAAUUUAUCUUUUAGAGAUACCUAAAUCGAACUUAGGAUUCCUCUUUAGAAGGGGCAGAUUCAGUUGGUGGCCAAUUGCACCUAAAUGAAAAAGAUUGGUGGCGACUCCUCAAGUCAAUGUCUAGCGAUAGGUUUAUGGAUCUAAACGUUAUAACAGUUUGGUGACUCCACUAGGGACAGCCGAGAGUCAAGCUAACAAAUAAAUUUGUGUUAUCUAAAAAAACCUUAUAAAAUUGAAUUCUUUGUAAGGAUUUUUUUUUCUUUUUUUUUCUUUUCUAUUCAUUGUAUUUAUUUAUGUUGCAAACUAUGUCAUUCAUAUGCAUAUGCAUAACAUGAGCUCUAUACUCAAGUUUUGUCCCUCUAGGAGAGAGUAAAGUACCUAUGCUUUCAUGAGGUUUUAAUGCCUCUGCAGUGGCUAGUGAGAUACUCUCACUCAAAUUGAAUCAUUUUCGUUGGUAGCCUGUGAUGGGUGAGGUUUAGAUUACCUUACUAGUCUGUGAUGGACGAUAAUGUAAGGAACAAUUUAGGAACCUUUAGUGGUCAAAACUGUCUAACUCAACAUAUAGUGUACACUUAAAAGGCCAACCCUAAGAUAGAGCCCUUCCUACCCAAUGAUAGAUAUACCCCGAAACUAGGACACAAUAAGGAAUAAGUUAUGUUUAUGUAACUGUUUUGAUUGUUUGACUUUGUGCAUUUGCAUUAUCAUGUCAUGCAUCAUUUUUAUUGUCAUAUGUAACGUUGUGCAUAUGCAUCAUUGUCAUAUUAGAUUUCAUCCAUGAAAAUGUACAUUUCAUUCAUGCAUUAAAAUAUCAUACAUAAAGCAUAGCAUAUCAUUUUUAAUCAAAAUUAUGGUGCUCAAGGUUCGAGGAUAGCUCCACCAAGCAACUUUACUCAUCAAUACAAUAUAAGAGCUCAAGCCAGACAAAUGGAAUAAGAAAAUUUCAAUCAUUUCGAAAGGAUAAAGAAAGCUCAAGAAAAGCUAGAAGGAGAGUUGAAUAGGUUUUUGAAGGCUUUGAACAAGUUAAAUAAGGGAAAAAAUGUAAAGGAGAAUACCAGCCAACAAGACCAUCCCUCACAAGAGGAGGAUGACCCACUGUACCUUUUAAUUUUUGGGCCACAUCAAGCCCAACCCGCACAAGUCCACCACCACAGCAGUUUAUCUAUCUUGCAGGGUACACAUACCCUGGAAUACCAUCAACUUCAAAUUUAAGGCAAUAUCAGAGUUAUGUAAAUCCUAUCUUUACUAAGAUUGUAGUAGAACUAAUACCAGUCCCUAAUUUGGAUGAUCUAAAAGAAAAAAAGAAGCUGAGGCCCAAAGAGAAGGAGAUUUUAAAAGCCUCAAAAGCUAAACAAAAGAUAAACUUGUUAGAGAAAAGGUUACAAGCAGUAGAAGGCAUUGGUUCUUAUGGUUUAGUGGAUGCUGCUAGGCUCUGUUUGAUCCUAGAUGUUGUUAUUCCUCAAAAGUUCAAAGUGCCAGAAUUUAAAAAAUACGAUGGCACAAAAUGUCCGAAGACCCACAUUAUCAUGUAUUGUCAAAAAAUGGCUGCCCAUGCUAAGAAUGAGAAACUAUUAAUGCAUGUGUUCCAAGAUAACCUCACGGGCUCUGCUGCUAGGUGGUAUGUCCAGUUGGAUAAGACCCACAUUUGUUCUUAGAGUGAUAUGGCCCAUGCCUUCAUUGGUUAGUACUAACAUACUAUAGACUUGGCCUCUAAUCACCUGUCUUUGCAGAAUAUGGAAAAGAAAGUGACUGAAUCAUUCAAUGAAUAUGCCCAGAGAUUGAGGGACAUAGCCUCUCAAGUGCAGCCUCUAUUAGCUGAGAAAAAGACCACAGUAUUAUUUGUCAGCACUUUGUAAUCUCCAUAUUAUGAAAAAAUGAUAGGGAAUGCCACAAAAAAUUUCAUUGACAUAGUGAUCUCAGGUGAAAUCAUUGAGAAUGCCAUUAAAAAUGGUAAGUUGAAAGAAGGGGAAACCAAAAAGGUGCCAGAGAAGAAAAAGACUGAAGAUCAAGCUGCGAGCCUUGAUAGACAAUUCAAGGGAUACCAACCCUAUCUACCACAAGGUUAUGCCCCAUACUAUCUUACUGUAAACAAUAUUUCACCUUACCUUUACCAGCCAUAUCUACAAUUGGCUUACUUACCAACUUACCAAUCAGCCUUUCAAGUACCUGCAUAUGAUUCUAGUCAUAUCACUAUAAUAGUUUCAAAGCCUAACAACCAAGCGAGUGGCUCAAGGAGAUCUCGAGAUAAUCAAGAAAGGGCACAUAUUGACCCAAUCCCCAUGACUUACACUGAGUUAUUCCUAGAACUGGUCAAGAACAAUUUGGUAUCUCUAAUUAUGCUAGAACCAUUGAAACCACCUUAUCCAAAGUGGUAUGAUGCUAAUGCGAUGUGCGAUUAUCAUAAUGGGAAUGUGGGUCAUUCUAUUAAAACUUGCCCUACUUUUAAACAUAAAGUGCAAAGUUUGAUCCAUAAAGGCUUAGUGAGUUUCGAUGAAUUAGGGGGGUAAGAUGUUAAUAAAAAUCCUUCACUUGAUUAUACAGGGGCAUGAUUUUAGAAAAGGAUGUCAAAGCUGGUUGGAAGUUACGUGUCAUUUUAGGAUUUCCUUUAAAGUAAUGUUAGAAUUUCUUUUAUGCAAUAAGAUUGCAUUUGUUAUCGUUUUAAUAAAAGGCAAGGAUAAUCCAUUUCAUUACAUUUUCUCUUUUAUUCAAUCACUGUUCUAUUCUUUGUCACCUUUCAUAACUUUUCGUUUCCAUUUUUGAACUCUGAAUGAUGAAUGUUUAGAUAAUGAUGCUAACAAUAAUUCUGAGAUUUAAUUUUGAGAACUCAUUCACAUUGAUUUGAAGUGAUUAUUUGAAAAAAAGUUACUAACAGAUAUGAGAUGGAUAUAUCUUGAAGAUGUAAUCAUUUAUGAAGAUCCAUGAGCUUGUUUUUGUUUAAUAGAUGAUCUUUAAAUAAAGCAUUCACAUUUGAGAUGAAAAAUGGUUAUCUUUCUUUUACUAUUCGAAAAACCAUUCAUUGCUAUCCCUUUGAGCCUAUUAUGAUUUCUUUUUCUAAAAAACCAUGACCAAGGAUCACCUUUUACACUGGAGGGCAUUUAAAAAAAAAAGGUAAAAAAAAGAAUCAUAAAAGGUCUCAAAGAUAGAAAGAAAAGAAAGAAAGAAAAGCAAAACAAAGAAAAAAGAGAAAAAAAAAAGGAAAUGAAUGCCACAAAUGAUUUGGGGCAAAAUAAGGGGAAUCUUUUUGUGAAGAAUGAGAUCGAUGAAAAAAGAAAAAGUAGUGAAAUAAUGUGGAAUGGGGCAAAAUGCCAAGUUGCAUCAAAUAAUAAAUGAUCCUUUAGUUUUGAAACCUUUAAAGACAUGUUUUGAGCCUAUUUUAUCUUUAUUUUAUGAUCCCUCACCAUGGCCUACAUUAUAACCUUGAAAAGUCUAUUUGGAUCAAGUAUGAAUGCUUGAAUUGAAUGAUCAUAUGUUAGGCGAAGACAUGCUCAUGAUAGAAUAAUGGAAUCACGUUAUAUUGUUCUAGAGAUUAAUGUGUGAGAGAUAUCAACAAUGGAUGAAAAAAGAUGAAAAAGGAAAAGAGAAAAAAAAGGGAAAAUGGAUGAAAAAAAAGAAAAAGAGAAAAAUGAAAAAAUAAGAGAAAAUAAAAAAAAAAAGAUGAAAAGAAAAAAGAAGACUCAAAUUGAAAACCCGAAAGGGCAAUUUGGGUAGACAAAUCUCUAAGCUGAAAAUUGGAUGAACAAUUCAAAUAUAUGGAAGAUCAAGGCAUCUAAAGAUCCUUUAAAGCUAGGGCAAAGUUUGAUGAGCUCAAAAUGAUUUCGACAGUUAAUGGAAUGAGUUUUCAAAAAAAAAUCUUGAAUUAAUGUUCAAAAUUGUCAGAAUAUUCAUUUGUCCUAAUGACAUACAUCCAACUUGUUUUUUUUCCCCAUUUACUUUUGUACCAAAACUCACUCCUCAUUGAUUGCUUUUCUCCUACUGCACCUUGUGCACUUUUAUUCUCACUUCCCUAUAAUGAAUUGAGGAAAUGUAUGAUUGCAUUGUGUUUGUCAAGAAUUGAAAUGAUAAUGAAUGAAUGAAUAUGUGCUUAAAAGGUUCUUGCAUUCUUUUGAAAAAAAAAUCCAGAAUGAUCGGAAGUAAAAAUGAUGAAGAGAUGGUAGAAACUUGAAAAAUGACACAUGGGAUGGCCAAAUGUUGAACAUGGUAAUGGAUUGCUUAAUAAGAUCUAAAAAGAUGAUGUGAUCAAGAGACGAAUAUAGUGAUAGAUUGAUCGACAUAACCUAUGUAUUGUGAUCAAAUGAUGAGAAUCAAUGGACAAAAUUCAUUUUAGAAUGGCUAGUGCUGAAAAACCUGUGAAUGGUGAUCAAGCGAUGAAAAUAGUAUAGAUCAAUAGACAAAAUUUGUUCUGAAAUAGUUACUAUUGAUAAGCCUAUGAAUGGUGGUCAAGUGAUGAAAAUAAUAGUGAUAAGUUGAUAAAACUCAUGAAAUGUGAGAUGGUGGGGUCUUGAGAACCAUAUUACCACAAUUUCAUGACAUUUAUCUGCAUUACAUGUAUUAUGUUUGCUUCGUCAUUUGAACAGUACAUGUACAUGAUUUGGUGAAUAUUUAAAAUUUUGUUUGGCCAUGCAUCAGCUAGCAAACAUUGAAAUCAUGAUUUAGGAUAUGGCAUCUACGUUAUUAUGUGAAUCCAUAUUGUUGCAUUUGCAUCCUUAAUCAUGACAUAUAAAAUUUUGAGUCACCGAAAAAGAAAUUGUGAAUCUUUUGAUAAGUAUCUUAAUUUCUUAAAUGAGAAUCUUUAAGAAAUCUUCAAAUGAGAAUCUUCGAGUCUUAAAUGAAAAUCUUUAAGAAAUCCUCAAAUGAGAAUCUUUGAGUGUCAAAUGAAAAUCUUUGAAUUUCAAAUGAGAAUCUUUGAGUCUUAAAUAAUAAUUUUUGAGAUGUGAAACCCAAAAUUUAUCGAAUGUGAAUCUUCAAAUUCAAAUGAGAAUCUUUGAAUUUCAAAUGAAAAUCUUUGAGAUGUGAAACCCUAAAGUUUGUUGGGUGUGAAUCUUUGAACUAAUGAAAAGUUUUGAACUUUCGGAUGUGAAUCUCCAAAAUUCAAAUGAAAAGCUUUGAACUCAACUUUUGGAUGUGAAUAUCUAAAUUUUUGAGUGAGAAGAUGUGAAACUCUAAGAUUUCUUAAAUGUGAACUUUUUGAAUUCAAACGAAAAGCUUUGAACUUUUGGAUAAGAAUCCACAAAAUCUGAAUGAGAUCUUUAAAUGUUGGAUGUGAGUCUUGCAAAUGCAAAUCUUAAGAUCCUACAAAAUUGAAUUCUUACAUAGUUGAAAUUUUGAGAAUCAAAUUUCAGUGAGUUCUUGUGAAGCUGAAAGGUUCUUGCGAAUCUGAACCUUUGAAUUUUGAGUUUGCAUGACAAAUUUCAUCAGGUCUAAUCUACGAUACCUCUGGACAUGAUUGUCGAGAAGCCUUUUAUUUUUUCAAAGUUGUUGAGCCUCUGAUUAGAGGAGCUUUGUUUAUUUUUCUCAAAGUUGUUGAGCCUCUAAUUAGAGGAGUUUUAUUUAUUUUUCCAAAGUCAUUGAGCCUCUAUUUAGAGGAGCUUUGUUUACUUGUUAAAAAAAAAACAAAAAUAAAAAAAAUGAAAAAAAAAAGUGUUGGGGUGAUCAUAUGUGGGGUGUCUACGUUUUUACACAAUUCUUGUUGCAUAGGAAAUGCGCAAAGAGGGGUAGCUGUAGACACCCUAAUCAGUCUUGACCUAAACCAAUUAGGCUUGGUCUAUUAGGAUUUGUGCCUAAGCCCAUUAGGCCUGGUUCAUUGGGGCCAAGUAGUUAGGCCUAGGUGUUUGUUAUUUUAUUCUUAUUUUUUUAUUUGUGUUAUUUUAUUAUUUAUUUUAUUUUAGGACAUUAGCAAAAAGAAAGGGGAAAAGAUAAAAUUUUACUAUGUGAAUGCAUGCUGAUUUUUUUUAAGAGAUUGAAUUUGUUGAAGGAAAAUCCAAAGUUUCUGAUAAUAUCAAAAUCUUGUCAAAGGUUGAGUUAAUCAAGGAUUCUUCUAAAUUUUCCUAUAAAAUUCACACAAAGAUUACAGAAAGAUUACGUGAGGUAGAGAGAUCACACAGAACAGAGAUACAGGAGGAAAAAAAAUAGAAUAGAUAGAUCAAAAACACAUAAAAAGAGAAAAUCAGAAGCAGAAAAAAGAACAUAUAGAUUAGAAACACAAUAAGCAGAAGGAAAAUUUUUUUGAAGUUUUGUUAAAUAGAAAAGAAAAUUUUUUGGAAAUUUUUUGGAAAAUUUCUAGAUUUCGAUGAAAUUUUUUGACGCCGAUUGAAUUUUUCAGUGUCUGUUGAAUUUUUUGACAAGUUUCCCAAAAUGUGGCCUAGAUUCCAGUGUCGGUUGAAUUUUUUAGCGACAUUCCAAUGAACUAACCCAGAUUCUGGCAACGUUUUCUAGAAUUCGAUGAAGAUUUAACUAGUGUUCAUCCAAGUGAGAGAGAGGGAGACGAAAGAAGGAGGAAGAGAGAAAGGGGAAAGAAGAAUUCUGCUGAAAAUGUUGAGAAUUAGCCUUAUGUACCUAUUGAAAACGAUGUCAUUUUGGUCCUACUAAUCCCAAAGGAUCUACGUGUUUUCAAGCGAGCGACUCGACCCGUAGCACAACCCGAACCAAGAUCUCGCAUCCCUGCCUGGUCUACAGUCGAGCCGAGCCGUAACCUGAGCCACCAAGCGGUACCUUUGAGUCGAUCUUUGUGCCUCAAGUCAAGCCGUUUCAGCCGUUGAGCUGAGCCGCGUCAAGGUUUUUUUUCAUUUAUUUAUUUAUUAUUUUUUUUUUAUUGACUAAAUUAUAAUUAUUUGGUAUUCCUUGUUUUUUUAAUUUUAAUUUUAUUUAUUUAUUUAUUUAUUUAUUUUUGUCAAUGAUUUUCCUAAAAUAAAUUUCCAAAAAAAAAUAUUUUUGGGGAAAAGUUGAAAGUAUCAUUUUUCCUUAGAAAUAAAUUUUCUAAAAAAUAUUUCCAAUUUCUAAAAAAUAUUUUUGAAGAAAAGUUGAAAGUAUUAAUUUUUAUUGAUAACAAAAAAUUUUAAAAAACAUUUUUUAGGAAAAGUUGAAAGUAUCAAUUUUUCUUAAAAAUAAAUUUUCUAAAAUAAAAAUUUUCAAAAGCAUUUUGAGAAAAAGUUGAAAGUAUCAAUUUUCUUUGAAAUUAAAAUUUCAAAAAAAUAUGUUUAAGGAAAAGUUGAAAGUAUCAAUUUUCCUUGUAUAAAAGAAAUGAGUUUUAUAUAUAUAUAUAUAUAAAAUAAAAAGAAAAAGAUUUAUAUCAAAAGUCAAAUCAUUAUUAUUAUUUUCUUUGUUUCUUUGAAAAAUUUUUAAAUGUUAAAUAAUCUGAGGAUGGAACCUCUAUAAGAAAAACAAUAGUUUUCUUGUAUACUCUUGAGGUGAGGAAAUUUUCUUAAUUUUUCUGUCAAAAGUAUUGGAGUCAAUUAAUAAUAAUUUUUAAUAAUUAAUUACUUGGUAAAUUUUUAAAGUUUAUAUGAUAACACAAAAUUGAGCUGGUACCAUCAUUUGAUGGGUAUUAUGAGGGUGCUAUAACCUUUCUCACACGUAACCAUACUCCCGGACUUAGUUUUGGUUCCGCAGACAUUAAAUUUACCUUUUAGAGAUACUUAAGUUGAACUUAGGAUUCCUCUUUAGAAGGGGCAGAUUCGGUUAGGUGGCCAAUCACACCUAAAUAAAAAAGAUUGGUGGUGACUCCUCAAGUCAAUGUAUUGCGAUAAAUCUAUGGAUCUAAACGUUAUAACAAUCUUCAAGAUCCAAGUUCUUUUAUUAUUGAUUGCACAAAAAUUUUAGCUUUUUCACAUUCAUUUUUAGUGCAAUUUAAUUUAUAUUUUGGCUUGUUCAUUAGGAUUUUUGACAAAAUUGCUCCUAAAUGCACAUUGAUCUCAUGUGGAGGUACAAAAGGAGAAAUUGAGGAAUUUUGGUCAAAUUGGAUACAUUUUGGAGGAUUUUUUGUGUGAAAUUAUGCAAUUAGCCUAAACUACUGUCAAUAUAUAAUAUUAGCACUUAGGAAUUUUGUUGAUUUUUCUUGCUUGAUUUUUUUAAUAUUAUUUUUAUAGUUUUUAUAUAUAAUGGAUGAUAAAAAUAUUCACAGAAUGUUUGGAAAUUUUGCAAAAAAAAAAAAAGGAAAAUAAAAAGAUAUAUGAAGCAUGCAAGAAGGACAUUGGUGCAUGGUGCAUGGCAGAAGCACCAAAAUUUCAAAAUGUUUCAAGCUAUUUCAAGAGCACCAAUUAGAGGGGUUGAUGUGGCAUUUUCAAGAGCUUUGAUUGGUCAUUAAAUUGACUUAUUAGACCACCCAUUACACAUCAAAGAAGAGCUUGCAAAGUGUUAAAGAAAAAGCCAAACAGCCAUGCACCAAAUGCAUAAGCAAGGAGGAAUUCUCUAGAAACUUACCUCAUUAUAGAUAUUUUAGAGAGAUUUUUUGAGGCUUCAUUCAUCACUCACCUAACUAUAAAUAGGAGUGGAACCAACCAUUUUAGGGAUACUUUAGCUUAGGAUUUUAUUUUCUUGUUCUUUAACUUAUGCACGUUCCUUUACUGCAUUUUACUUUCUUAGCAACCAAACAGACCUUGAUCUUCAUGUUUUUCUAUUGAUUUGAUUGUACUUUUACAUUUCCUCAAGUAUUUUUCAGUUUUCUUAACGAUUUUGGCAAUGAAACUUGCAAAUUUUAUUGAUUUCUAGCUCAAAUCUACUAAUUUUUCAUUGAUACUCAAAUCUGUUUUUGAAUAUGCCAGUUUUGACCUAUCUACGGUUUUUUCUUCAUAUCUCAUUCAAAUCAUACUUGUUUUUGUUCAAAUUUUUUCAUAAUUUCCUAAUUCAAUUAGCUACAACAUAUUAAAAAUUCAGCUUCAAACUCACAUCACAACCUUCCAAAUCAAGCUUGGAAAUUCUGGCUAGAUGCAGUGAUAGUGCAAUUCCAAUUUUGAUCCAGCAAGUUUGGCAUGGAAUUGCUCUUUCCUUAGUGAGUUGUUUGCCUUCUUUUCACUCUAAAUCCUUGGUUUUACUUGUUUACUUGUUGAUUCUUACUUGAUUUAGUUUACUUCUUUACAUUUCAUUGCUGUUUGGAUCAUUUUCUUAGAUGAUGUUCUGAUUUUCCAGAUUUUGCACUAUUUUUGAAAUUGAGUUUGUUGAGCUCAUUUCUUUAUUGAUUCAUACUAUUUUCUUGUUGAUUUAAGUAGUUAACUGGUAAAUCCAUGUUGUUCUAGCUUAUAUGAAGUUCUUUUCCAACAUAUAAUCACAACUUGAAUUUUUUUUGUUUUUUGCAAUAUUCAUUCUGCUCCUGCACAAAUAGGGUUUGGAGUUAGUUUUUGUGCAAUGUUUGUGUAAUUUUCUGCAUGUUUUCUUCUUCAAUUUUAUUUUGCAUUUAGUCCUUUAUCCUCUCAUACAUAUUCCAAGUUAGGUGUAGCUUUACUUGUGCACUAAAAAUCUCAAUCGUGAAAUGAAAAUUUUGUUUACAGCUUGUGUUUACUGUUUCUUGUUUGCUGCAAUUCUUUCUAUUUGACUUUUCUUUUACAUUUUGUUUAGUCAUUAUUCUUAGAUUAUGUGUUUAUAGAGGCUAGUUAAUAGCUGCUUCAAAAUCUGUUUAGAUUCAAGAAUCUCUUCAUACUUAGCUUUAGUUACAAUUGCAACAUUUAGCUUUCAUUUCAUGAUCAUGCUAGGCGUCAUUUCCAAGCUCUAUGUGGUGUCAUUUCCAUUUUCCUUAAUUCGAGAAUUUAGGUGUUAUUUCCAUGUGAAUUUUGUAUUUACGUUUCACUCAUGAUUUUCACUUUUUCAUUUUAUUUUAGCUCUUACUUGCUAUUGCAUUUUAGGACUAGUUAUAUUUUUUUUCUUUUGCAUUUUGUUCAUUUUUUAUCAUGUAUUUAUUUCUUAGUUAGUUUUAGUUGAUUGCUUGAAUUUUUUUAGUAGAAUUUUAAAUGUUUCAUAGAUAUUUUUUUUAUAGAACCAAUUUUAGAAGUGUAUGGGGAUAAUAGAUACUUAACUUAGGAAUGUCUUUAACUAAUUUUCGUCGGAUAGACAUCUAGACUUUCAUAGUAUCUACUAUUACUUGCACGGUAUGUGCACUUGCAGAGUUUCCUCAAUCAUUUACUUUGCAAGAUUCUACCAUUACUUUUUUCUUUCAUGAUUUUUUAAGUUGUUUUCAUGCAAUCCUCAUUUUCUUUACAAGCAUUCGGCUACUACUUCAAUUUUAUUUUCUUUGCAAUCUUUUUUAGUUUAGGCUUUAGGAUUGGUUGUUAGUAUUAAUUUUUGCUUCCUAAAUGACAGUUGGUGAAGUUUAGAACCUUGCCAUACAUUACCUUUAAUCUUUACUUAAUCUAUGUCUAUUUAAACCCUAUAACCCUAAAACCCUGAAUAUUUAUUUGUUUAGAUAUAAGAUCUUAGCUUUUCACCUUUGGUACUUGUGAACUACCCAAUAUUACAUUUUAUAAUCCUAGAGGAGACGAUACUUCGAAUACUCCACUUUAUUACUUAAUCUAUGCACUUACAGGCUUUAUACAAAAAGCAACAAUCAUACAUACAUCUGACUAAAUCAACUUCAAAGAGGAUUGCAAGCACACCUAAAGAAGUUCAAGCACACAAGGACACUAAAAGCAUUCAACCAAAGGUGUUUGAAUUUAACCAUGACUCUUUGAUAACCUAUUUAAAGAGUUGUGAUGGAAGAAGAACUCUAACAAGGUAAAUCUCAAAGAAAACUGAAGGAAAAUCAAAUAUCUUGUCUUAUAUCCCAACCCUUAGCCGAACCUAUUAUCGCGACGUAUCAGGAGCCGAGGGUAGGCUAACUCGAAAGCCAGACAAAUGGAAAAAAUUUGAAAAACAUGGGGAUUAAAAAUAUUUUCAAUAGAAACAAAAUUGAAAGAGUCACCACUCAUUUUUUUAGUGCAUAGUUGGCCACUCAAAAAUUUUUUAUCGUUUUAAUAAAACAUUUUAAAAUGGGUUUAAAAGUUUUAAAAAAAGAACAAAUUUACGAUUUACGAAAUUAGAGUUGAGUUCGAGAGUCGAUUAUGCGUGAGGAAGGAUUAGUACCAUGAUAAUGACUGUCAAAGACGAUACCAAUUGAUUGCAUGCUAUCUUUUAAUUUUAAUUUAAAUGAUCCUAUUUACUUAAUGUUUAAAAUUAAUUCCUAAAUUAAUUCCUUUCCUUCCUUUAUUUUUUCUUUUCCUUUUCUUUCUUUUUCUUUUUUUGAAAUAAGAAAUAAAUCAAAUUUAUAACAAAAUUUUUUUUUUUUUCAAACAAAAAGAUAAGUCAAAUUUAAAACAAAACAUUUUUUAUUUUUGGAACAAAGAGAAAUAAAUUUAAGUAUCGAAAUACUUUUUCUACUUUCCUAUAAUUAGGUAGAGUUUAAAAAAUAUUCUUAAUUAAAAAGUUUUCAAACUACCCCAUAAAACAAAGAUAAUAUCUGUCAUAAAUAAUAAUUAUCGAGAGUCCUCAUAUAGUUAGGCAAGAUCUCAAUGAUUAUAUUUGCUUUGGGUAUUAUCUUAUUUUAAAAACAUUUUUCUUUUGAAAAUUAAUUUUUAAAAACAAAUGCCUGAAAUGUAUGAAUAUUAUAAAAUGAUGAAUGUAUGACAAUAUAAUAUGAAUAAAGUAUAAAUGCGUGAUCAUAUAAGAAUACAUGGGAUGACAAGAUAAUCUGAAAUGCAAAUGCAUGAAUGAUUUAGGGCUUGGGGCGUUUGGGGUUUAGGUUAGAGUUAGAGUUUUAGGUUUUGGGUUAGGUUUUAGGGUUUGGGUUUAUGGCUUAGGUUUAGAGUUUAAGUUUAGGGUUUAGGGCUUGGGUUUAUGAUUCAAGAUUUAGGGUUUUUGAUUUAGGGUUUGGGGUUUAGGGUUUAGGUUUUAGGGUUUUGAUUUAGGAUUUCGAUUUGAAAUCUCACAAAAAAAAUUUUUUUUUGGGUUUUAUGGAAAUGAAUAUAUAAUGAAUGCAAAAUUACAAGAAUGCCAUUAAUGAAUGCAUGUGCCAAAUGUAUGACCUAGAAACUUAAUUACAAAAUAAGGUAUUUUCUAACUUAAUAACACAAACAUGUAAUGCAUAAAAAUUCAAAACAAAAAUGAAUCAAACAUGGAAAACUUUAAAUUUGGUUUGAAUGUUUCACCAUUUGUUCAUCAUUAACCCAACCAAACAAUAUAAAAAAUUCAUAAAAAAUAACCAUCAAGCAACAUUUUUUUAAUGAAGCUUUUGUUCAAACAUGUUAGAAAUUUUGCCAAACACCAUAAAAACAUAAUAUAAAGCAUGAAUCAAAGAACAAAACAUCUAUAAAACUAAAAAACAUGGUUUGGCCAACCCAAAGCCUACCGUGGCCGAACUUUUUGAUCUAUUUCCCAAGCAUUUUACUUCAUCUCAUUUCAUCCAAACAAGCAUGAUUCAUGUGAAAAUCAAAGUAACAAUUUCAUCAAAGACAAAAUGAACUAAUGUAAAUUGAAGACCUUAUGAACAAAUAUAUCAUCCAAACAACAAUAAAAUCCUCAUUAGAAACAUGAUCUAGCCACAUGGAAACUUGGAACUCAUAGCUAAAACAUCUUUUAUUAACCAUGAAUCAAACAACACAUAUUGGUUAAAGGGAGAAUUUUCAAUGGUCAAACAUCCCUUGGAUUUUUUUUAAGCAUACUUUGAUUCUAUUCAAUCCAACCAAGAUUCAUUUGUUUAUUCAUCCAUCUUACAAAGCAUUAGGAGCAACAAAACAUUUAUCAAACAUGAAGUAAACUAAAAAAACCUAAAAAAAAAAUUAAAAUCAAACAUGAACCAAAUAUCCAUAUAUUUCUUUCACCAAACAAAAUCUAUAUAAGAUUCAAACUAACCAAUCAUUUAAACAUCACAAGUAAGAUUAAAAAGCAAGUGAAACAAUCAAAGGAGCCAAGAGGAGAUUUGGCCAACAAGGAGGACACCAUGACCUUACUUUCAACUUGGUUGUAUCAACGGUGAAUUUUGAUGUUUUUGCUUGGUUUUCAACUUCAAUCCAACAAUUAUGGAUUAGUUGGAUGAAAAUUGGUUUAAGCUUUAUGCAAGAAAAUAAACCUAAACUAUUAGCUUUAUAGGUUAGAUGGUGAUCCAAGAGGAGGGUGAAUCGGAUCUCUCCAAAUUCUUCCCAAACAAUGAUUUUAAUAUAGUUGAAUGGAAAUUAAGACAAUAAGCACUUUUGAUGAAAAUAUAAUAUAAACAAUAACAAUUAAUGAACUUAAAAUCAAAUAUGAACAACAAUAAAUUAUAAUGAGAUAGGGAUAGAGAAAUCAAACCCAAUAAUUUAUAGAGGUUCGGUCCUUAUCCACAAGGCACCUACGUCCUCUCUCUUGGUUGUCCACACCAAGGAUUCAGUCCACUAAUUAAAGAAAAAUUCUUACAAGAUAUAAACAUAUCUUGUACUAAAUCUUUAUCUUUUCCUUAAGGCUUAGAUAGCAACCUUUACCCUUACAAUAUCAAGAUGAUACCUCACCUUUUGUUCUUUUCCAUCCUUGUAUAUCCAAGGUAAUUUGCAAACAAUAGAACAACCUCUCUAAGGCUAAGUUUUUGCUAAGUUUAAGUACAAGAAAAUGAUGAAUGAACAACAAAUAUAAUUUGGAUACAAUAAAGACAAAGAUAUAGACUUUGAAGCUCUAAAAACUCUUGAUUCUUUGAAAGAAUGAAAAUAUGGCUUGUUGGCUUUUGCUCUUUUGAUUCAUCAAUCUUCUUGGUGUGUUGGAGUACCCAAUUUAUAGAGAAAUUGAAGAGAUAGCUGUUGGAAGUGUUUGGGAGAAGAAAAUAGCCAUUGGAAGCACCAUAAAGUAGCCGUUGGAGUGUUUCUGCCCAGAACCAAUCAAUCCCUUGCUUGAGGGGAUCGAUUGGUUCAUGUUUUGAACUAUUUUUCACUUGAAAAUCAUGGCCCGAUCGAUCCCUUCCAUGAGGGGAUCGAUCCUGUUAGUAGUUGGGUGGUAGUUUCGCGUUUUGCACUCUACUUACUAAUUUAAUCAUAACUUGACUUAUACAAAUCCAAAUCAUAAACCGUUUAAAGAUUUAAAAACUAGACUUAAAGGGCUUUCUAUCCAUAUAAGUUCAUCAUCUAAUUCACUGUGUACGAAUUAUAGUGAAUUUUCAAAGUUACGCCUUAUGCAGUUUUUCUGACAACUACAGAGUGUCUAGUAAAAAUUCAAAAUCUUUUCUUAGAAAAUUUAGAUUUUGAUUUUGUUUAAUCCAUUAGAAAGUAGACUCAAAGAGCUUUCCAACCAUAUAAAAUUCAAAUAUUAAAACUUUGUGAAUUAAUACAGAAAAAUAAAAUAAAUUCAAUGUUGGAAAACUUUGUUCUUGUAAAAUAGCUUUCUUAAGUUAAUCUAUUUCUCAAAACCAAUAUUAUCAAAAUUGUAUUAAGUCCAAAAUGAAUAAGUUCACUUUAAAAAAAAAAUUGAACUUUCAUUUAAGCUCAAAUAAAUAAUCUUUAAAGGUAGAUUUGGUUUGAAAAAUAUGAAAACAAAGAAAGGUUUGUUUAAGCUUUGAAAAUCAUAUUGUUUAUUUAGUACCAAGAUAUAAAACUUAAGAACAUGUACUAAAUAAAUCUUUUUCAAAAUCUUGAUCAAGUUUAUUUAACUUUAAUGUUUUUUCAUUUCAAAAUAAGGAUCAAUUCAAGGCUAACAUAAACGUUUUGAAAAUCAAACAAGAAAUCAAUGAAAUAUGAUGUAGAAUGAAAUAAAAAAAAUGAGAUGGAGAUGCUAGAAAAUACAAAGGAUGAAUAUGGAAUGGAUACCUUCAAGCCAAGCACCAAAGAUUUUUCCUCUUUUCUUGACAUUUUUUCCUCUUUUUUUUUUUUUUUCAUGUUUUCUUCCCCUCUUCCAUGCAGCUAGAAAUCAUUGCCCUUGAAUGAAGAAGAAGCUAAAAAAAAAUAAUAAUAAGAUUGAAUAUAGGCCUUAGGAUCAAAUCCCAUCCAAAGGUCAAAAUUACUCAUUUUUUUCAAUUUAAAGAGCAAUAUUUAACCAUUGGAUCAAGAUUCCAUUUGAAAUCUAAUGUCCAUAUUGUUUACUGCAAAUGUGUGAUUUUUAAAGCCCCUAAACUAAUAAAAAGACCAUUUUGCCUUUAGUAUAAAGUUUUGAGUGUUUAGACCCUUUUCUUGGAAAUCAAUGUUCUCAUAUUCAUUUUUUGAAUUUUAGAGCACCAAAAAUCAUGAAAUAUUAUGAAAUUAUGAUAUAAAAUUUUUUGUGAAAAACGAACCUCGAAAAGAUCAAAUUACAAAAAUACCCUUAAGGAUAUUUUUGUAAUUUUACACUUCUUGGAGUAUUGCUGUGAUUCUAAAUGCACUUAAAAUCAUCAAAUAUUAUAAAAUUAUGAUUUGAAAAGUUUAAUGAAAAACUAACCUCGAAAAGGUUAAAUUAUAAAAAUGCCCCUAAAAAGCAUUUUGGUAAUUUUCUCAACUUUCAAAGUACAAUUAAGAUUUUCAAAAUUCUAAAAAUCAUCAAAUAUUAUAAAAUCAUGAUUUGAAAUUUGUCAUGAAAUUUUGACCUCAGGAAUGUCAAAUUACAAAAUAUUCUUAAAAGAUAUUUUAGUAAUUUUACAUCUCCUAAAGUACAAUUUGGAUCUUUAGUGCAUAAAAAAUAAUAAAAAAUUAUUAAUUUAUAAUUUGAAAGAUUUUAUGAAAUUUGAGUUUGAAAAAGCUAACCCCAUCUAUAAAUAGGGAAACUAGUUUACAUCUCAAGCAUCCCAUCUCAUUCCAGACGCUCUUCUUUUCUUUUUUCUUUAGUUCUCUUUUAGUUUUUAGUUAUUUAGCUUUCUUUGUAAUUGGUUUAGGUAACAAAUUUGCCAAUAAAACUUUUUUCUAAAUUCUUUUCUUUAAUGAAUGUAUUCUUUCAUGCAAAUUCUAGUUUUCUUUAAAGCUUUCUUACACUUUUUUCGGUUUUGUAAUAUUGUUUACAAGUUCUUAUAGUUUCAACAAUCUUUCCCAUCCUAUUCUUUUUAGUUUUUAAUCAAGCAAUCCUACUUCCUUCAUUUAAGUUUUGGUUCAUGCAAUCUUGUUUUAUGUUCUAUAAUUUUCAACCUUUCUUAAUCUUAUUAUUUCCAAAUUUCAAUUCUUAUUUUCCGUAGAUCGUGUUCAUUUAGACACGAUCCUAUUACUUACCAAGUAAUAAUUGGUACAGUUGGUUAAGUAAGAUAUAGGCCUUUCUUAGUUUAUAUAUAAAGUUUAAUCUAAGUUUAUAUAUAAAGUUUAAUCUAUCACUUUUGGUACUUGAAUCCACCCAACAAUCAAUUUUAUAAUCCUUCUAGAAUGAUAUCUGAUACUUAUCACUUUAUUAAUUGUUGCGAAAAUAGGUAAAUAGUACUCUAUUGCCAAAUUUUGGGUUUGUGAGGUGCUAUUGGUUUGGGCUAAAUAGGAGGAAGAAAGUUUGUAUACAAUGAGAAACAAUGAAAGAUGAAUAAUGAAAGAUUUGAGCAAAUUUUUAACUUUAUAAUAUGAAUUUAAAUUAAUAAAAAACAAAAGAAAAAGAAAAGAAUGAAAUUAGACAUGACAAUCUACGAUUCCAAUCCAUUGAUCCUAAUAGGAAUCUAAAGCAUUUUUUACUAAUAAAAUAUUUUAUGGUAAAACAAAUUUAACAACAGAGUGCAAUUUAUUAUCGUUAAGUAAUUUUCUUUUGAACACAUAAAUUAGACUUAAUUAAAAGAGAUAUUUUUUAUUAAAAAGGUUACCAACCGUUAAAUUCUUUAUUAAACAUUUAACUUCUUUUAAACUCUUCAAAAAUGUAUUUGAUAAUUUUUCAAAAAAAUUAUCUAUUUCAUUAUUAUAAAAUUUAUUACUUUCACAAUUGCUAUUGAAAUAUUAUUUGAUUCUUUUAUUUUUUAUGAGUUUGAUUUUUUAUUUAUUUAUUAUAAGAUUAAUGUCAAAAUAUACUCCACUUAUUUAUAAGAAAUUUUAAUAUAAUAUUUAAAUCUAAAAAAUUUAUAAUAUUAUACUUAAAUUAUUAAUUAAUAAUCAUUAAUUAAUGUGAUAUUUAAAUAAUUAUUAUUUAUCCGUCAAACCAGAUUACAAGCAAAGGGUACGAAUAAAACAUUAAAGAUUUUAAUGUACAGAUAACAUUAACGCUCCAUUUGUUUCGUAAUAAGUAAUUUUUUAAAAAUGAUUUUCACAUUUUCAUGUACUCAUUUGGUAAAAAUUUCACUAAUCAACAAAAAAUAAAUUAUCGAUCAACUCAAAAUCAUUUUUUUGAAAAUUAUAUUACGAAUUUGAGAAUGAGAGACAUUUUGUAAAAAAAAAACUAAUUAUGAGUAAAACUAUUCAUCAAUACUUUUAAAUAUAAUUUUACUUUUAAAUAAUAUUAUAUUAAUAAAUAAUAUUAUAUUAAUAGAUAAUAUACUAUUAAUAUAAUAUAUUAAUAAAUAAUAUUAUAUUAAUAAAUAAUAUUUAAUAUAUUAAUAAAAUAAUAUAAAAAUAAUAAAUAAUUUUAUUUUAAUUAUAUUUAUAUUAACAUAAUAUUUUAAUAUUAAAUAUUAUUAAAAUAUAAUUAUUUGUAAAUAUUAAUAAUUUUAAUAAUAAAUAAUUUUAACAUGCUUUAAGAAUAAAUAAUUUUUAAUAUUUAAAUAAUUAACUAAUAUUAUUUUUUAAAAAAUAAUCAAAUAAAAAUAUUUUUUAUUAAUUAAUUUAAAUAUUAAAAAAUUACUUUCAAUUCAAAAAAUGUAAAUAUCUUUAAAAAUUAUAUUUCAAAAACCAUUUUUCGCCCGAAACAAUCGAAACUUAGAUAUUAAUGUAUUGUAGAGGUUAUUAUGGCAUUGACGCACAAAUUCCAGUCACCGUUUUGAAUUUAAGCCCAUAUUGCUCUGUUUCUGUCCAGACGUACUACAUCUAUCAACAAAAUAUAUGAUCUAUUACAAGCUUCCACAGAUCUUGAAAUCUCGAGCAGUUGUUGCUAUUCUCUGAAAAUCACAACGUUAUCAAAUACCUAUUAUUUAUCUUGCAAUUGAGACAUUUCCGUGCAUGAAUUCCAAGUCCUCGAAUAAAUCAAUCAUUUAGCAAAAUACUGGUAAAUUAUAAAAAGUUUAAGCAAGAAGAAGAAGAAAAAUUAAAACCAAACCUGAAGGAAGCUACCCAAGACAGGACAAGGUAGGGAAGGUGAGCAACGGUUGGAAAUCAAGGGUAUGGGAGGUGUGGGGAAGAAUUGCACCUCUUUGAUUAAAAAAAGGUCAUAAUUCUGCCCAAAUCCCCCAUACCUAUAACUCACAACACCACUCCCUUUCCCUCCAACUCCUUUCACUUUCGGAAGUUUCAUAUAUGAAAGAAACAAGGGAUAGAGAGAGAUAGAGGAAAUGUUUGGAAUGGGCGGAGUCGGUAGAAGAGAAGAAUUGGUGUAUUAAAAAAAAAAAUGUUUUGCCAAUCCACCCAUCUCCAAAAACUUCCGAUAUCAAUCUCUACCCCUCUCUCUCACGUAUCAGAUGAUUGACUGUUGAAGGAUGAGUGAGCAUUGAGCAUGGCAGUAAAUAUAAAGGGAGAAAACGAGUGAGGUAGUAGGCUUCUUUUUUUCUUUUUCUUCUUUACGAAAGGAAACCGCGUUGUGUUGAAGUCACAUGGAAAAGCAAAGGAAAGUGAGAGGAAGGUGCAGGCAAGGCUGCAGAUGUGGAAAUGGGAUGACAACUUUGGAGAUAAGGACAAUUUACCCACCCAUACGACAACUGCCGUCAUUAGUUUUUUUUUUUUUUUUCGUUUUUUACAAACGUCUAUAACAAGUUUAAAUUUUUUAAUUCUUUAUUUAUAAUAAAAUCAGUAAAUACUAAUUAUUAGUUUUAUAGAAUUAAAUAUUAAUUAUUGAUUAAAUCUAGAAUAAAAUAAGAGAAAAUUUGUUUAUCAAAUAAUAAGAUUUUAAAAUAAAAUUUAUAAAAUUUUAUACAAAAUUUAAAUAAUUUUCACUUUGUAUAAUAGUUUUUAUUUUCCACUUUAUUACAUGCUUAUAAAAUUACUUAAAAAUAAAAAUAAAAUAUUGUUUUUAAAAAACAUUUAAUAUAAUUGAUAUCUUUUAAAUACCUAAAAAUAUUAUAAAUAAAAAUAAUUCUAAAGAAUUUUUAAAAUAUUAAAAUAAAAAUUCUUUCAAAGAAAAAUUAAAUUAAAAAUUUUAUAUUUUAAAAUAAAAAUAUAAAAAUUGUUAACUAAUCAAAUGAGAGAAAUAAUCAAAUUAUAUCAAUUUAUAUAAAAAUAUGAUGAAGUGUUGUACCACGGUGAAAAAAGAAUUAUAAAACUUUUAAAUAUAGUUGAAUGUAAGAAAAAGUAUUAGAAGAAGUAUUUUAAGGUAAAUAAUUAAAUUACCAAUAUAAAUUUUAAAUUAAUUGUUUUUGUUAUAAAUAUAUAAGAAAAAUAGUUAAAAAAUACUUUUAAGGAUAAAACAAAUGUAAGGUAAUGUUUAGUAUGAGAUAAUCACUUUAAAAAUCAUAGUGAUUUGCACGUAGUGAUGUAAAUAUUGUGUUUGGUAAGCAUUUGAUGAUUUUACGUGGUGGUGAUCUUAGAUAACUGAGAGUGAUAAAAUUAUUAUCUUGGAAGGUAAUUUAAUUCAUAUACAAAAAGAUUAGAAAUUUUUAUCAACGAAGUGAAGUAAUGUAUAAAAUUAAUAAUAGUCAAUAUUAUCUAUUUAAUAUGUGAAUUAAAAACUUACUUCUUCUUAAAAUUAUAAUUUUUUUAUAUUUCAAAUUAAUAUUUAUUGUAACAAAUUAAAAAAAAUAUGUUUUCUCUUUCAUUUUUUAAUACUUUAUACAUAAUUUAAUUUUUUUUGUUUUUCUUUUAUUAUGAAUUUAAUAUUAUAUUUUUUAUUUUCUAAUUCAAAUAUUCUUUACAUAAUUUAUAUUAUAAAAAUUAAUUUAUUUAUCAAUAAAUAUAUUUAAUAAUUUAAUAAUAUUUUAUUAUAGAAUAAAUAGAAUAUUACUAAUUUUGACAAAUUAUUAUCUUUAAACAAUAUUAAAAUUAUUAAUUUGUAUAACUAUUAUAAAAUACAUGAUUUUUUGCACUUUUAAAUAAAAUAAUAUUUGAUUUUUAGUAAUACCAAACAUAUUAAUAUUUAAUUCCUAAGAAUUAGUUAUUGUUAACCCAAAAAAGUGAUAUCAAGUCAUGAGUGAUAAUAAAAUUAUCUCGAUAAUUACAUUAUCAUGAUGAUCUUACAAAAGAUACCAAAAGCUACUAAAAAGAAAUGAUAUUUUGGAAUAAAAAUAUUAAUAAAAAAUUUAUUAACUUAAGCAAGUGAAAGAAACCAUAAAAUUCAUAUCAUAUAGCAAAAAAUAUGUUAGAAGUGUUAUCACACCUAAGAAAGAGUUAUAAUAAUUUUAAAAGUAAUAAAAUGUAAGAACAAUAGUAAAAAAAAAAAAAUACUAUUGAAAUGUAAAUGAUUAAGUGAGUAAUGUAAAAUUUUAAUUAAUUAUUAUUUUUAUAAAUAUAUAAGGAAGAUACCUAAUAAAUAAAAAAAAUACAGGCAAUGCAAAUAGGUGUGAGGAUGUGUACCAUUUUAAGAAAAAUAGGUAAGAAAUGUCAUAAUACACUAAGAAAGAUCUAUGACAAUUCUAAAUGUAUUGGAAAAUAAACAAGUGUGAACAAACAAAAAAUUAGAAUAAUUUGGUGUAAAAUGGGUAAAAGGUGUCAUGAGACACUAAGAAAUGUUAUAACAAUUUUAAACAUAAUAGAAUGUAGGAAUAGCUAUAAGCCGAUAGUAUUGUAACAUAAAUAAUUAUGUUGGUAAUGUAAAAUUUUAACUAAUUAUUAUCUUUUAAAUAUAUAAGAAAAAUAGCUAAAAUUGAAAAAAAAAAAGUAACGUAAAGAGUGAGAAAAAAUGUAAAAUAAGUAUGAUUAGGUCUAAAAAUGGAUAACAAGUGUCCUAACACACUACGAAAAAAUUGUUAUAAUUCUAAAGGAAAAUAGAUAAAAUUGAAAAACAAAUAAGUAAUGUAAAAAGCGAGAAAAAACAUAAAAUAAAUAUCAUUAGGUCUAAAAAUGGAUAAAAAGUAUCCUAACACACUAAGAAAAAGCUAUUAUAAUUCUAAAUGUAAUUAAAGGUAAUAACAAUCAUUAAAUAAAUUAUUGUAAUGUAAAUAAUUAAGUUACCAAUAUAAAAUUUUAAUUAAUUAUAUUUAAACAUAUAUGAAAAUAGCUAAAAUUUACAAAAUAAGUUGGUAACAUAAACAAGUAAAAAGAAAUGUAAAAUUAGUAACAUUUAGCGUAAAAUGAGUAUAAAUUGUUGUAAUACACUAAAAAGAAUUAUGACAAUUUUAAAUGUAAUGGAAAGUAAGAACAAUCAUAAUAAUAUAUUAUUGUAACAUAAAUAAUUAUUUUGGCAAUGAAAAAUUUUAAUUAAUUAUUAUUAUGUAAAUAUCUAAGAAAAUAGUUAGAAAUUAAAAAGUAAAUUGGUAGCAUAAACAAAUGAGAACAAAUAUAACAUUAGUAUCAUUUGACAUAAAAUGGGUAAAAAGUGUUAUCACACAUUAAGAAAAUAUUAUGAUAAUUCUAAACAGAAUGAAAAGUAAAAACAACCUUAAGAAGAUAUUAUUGUAAAAUAAAUAAUUAUGUUGACAAGAUAAAAUUUAAUUAAUUAUUGUUCUACUACAACAAAAUUACGAUAUAUUAAUGCUAAAAAAAGUCGGUAUAGCUCAAUAAACCUUUUACCGAUGAUUAAAAUGCCUGUUCCAAUGACAUUUUAGUCAUCAAUAUGUCUCUUGUCGAUAUGGGUUUAUACCAAUAGAUUUUUAACUGUCAAAAUAGAGAUAUAUUGAUGGCUUGAGUCCAUUAAUAAUUGUAUAGCUAUUUAUAUAACAUCUACAGUGUGUUUCUGACAUUAUACUUUUUGUUGGCCUUGAAUUGAUUAAGAGUUUUGAUUUGACAAAAUAAAAAUUUGCCAAACUUGUUUCAAUCUUAAUCUUGUUUAAGCUUAAAUUGAACAUUUUUCCACCCUUCUAUCUUACCAAAAUUCAUUUGAGAACCAAAACAACUCAAAUUCUCGGAACAAAACAUGAUUUAUACAAGUUUUGAUAGAAGGGAUCGAUCCCCUCAAGGAAGGGAUCAAUCCCUUCCAUUACUAGAUCGAUGCCCUAGUAAAAGGGAUCGAUCCUAUUUUCAACCAGAACCGAAAGUUCUCAAGAUUUGGUAAAAAUUGAUCGAUCCCCUUCCUGUAAGGGAUCGAUCCCCUCAUUUAAGGGAUCAAUCACUUUUUCAUAUAGAAUGCUUUCUUCACGUAAUUUUCUAGAAAAGGGAUCGAUCCUCUUACAUAGAGGAUCGAUUACCUAAGGUAAGGGAUCGAUCUCCUCUUAAAGGGCUUGAUCGGUUGUUCAAACAGAAUGUCCCCAAGUGUGAAAACCCAGAAAAGGGAUCGAUCCCCUCACAUAGGGGAUCGAUCACCUAAAAGAACAGAUCGAUCCCUUUAAACAAGGGAUCGAUCGGGUAAGGCAAAAUAGGCAUAAAAUCAAGCUUUCUCAAACAUGAACCAAUCGAUCACUUAAGGGAGGGGAUCGAUCCCCUGAAGGCCUGAAACUUUUAACGACUAUUUUCUGUCCAAAAUUUAUGCAGGUUUAAAGCAUUAAAUGCAAUCCAACGGCUCUUAACUUUUUUCUAAGUAUAAAUCAAGUAUUCUACUAUAGAUCAAGAGUAACAAGAGCUAAAGAAACUUAUUGCUAUUCACCUACCAAUCUACUCAAGUAUUCAAAGCUAUAAAAAAAGAAAAAGUACAAAAUUUAUAUAAGUUUUUCUCUACUUUCUUAUCUAUAUAUUUGUGUACUUCAACUUAGCAAACACCUAGCCCUUGUGAGGUUCUUAGAGUUUGCCAAACACUUUUGAAUUUUAUGUAUUGUGAGUGUGUAAUCUUAAGGUGGAAGAUAACCAUUAAGAGUGUAUGUUGUUGAGUUUGUAAAUCUUUGUGAAAGCUUAGUUCUAAUCUUCAUCAAAUAGUGGAUUGAACUCCUUAGCAAGAGAGGUUAAAGGAGAGGACGUAGGUGCCUAAGAAAGGACCGAACCUUUAUAAAUCUUGAUGUUAAAUUCUCUAACCCUAUCUUUUGUUUAUAUUCAUCUAUUGUGCUUAUCUAUUUUGAUAAUUUGUGAUUAUUGAAUGUUAUCUUUGAAAAUUUUAUUAAAACCAAUUCACCCCAUCUUGGUUUUUCAAGUCUUUGAGCUAACAAUUGGUAUCAGAGCUAGUACUCUUUCUAUAGGUUUAAUAGCCCAAAAGUGAUCUUGAAAAUAGGUUAAAGAAAUAUGGCAAUCAAUGUGGAAAAAUCAUCCUUAAGCUAUAACAACUAUACCUACCAAUAAGCGAUGUGCCUCAUGACAAAUGAAACAGUUGUAACAUCUCUUGGAAGUUGAAGGCAUUCAAUUGUUAGACCUCCUCUCUUUGCUGGUGACAACUACUCCUAUUGGAAGACUAGGAUGAGGCUGUUUAUUCAAGCAAAUGAUUAUGAAGUCUAAAGGGUCAUUACAAAUGGUCCUAAAAUUCCAAUGAAUAUGGUGGAUGGUAAGGAGGUGAUAAAGCUAGAGAGUGAAUGGGAUGUCAAUGACAUGAAGAUGGCUCAACUCAAUGCCAAAGAAAUGCACACAUUCUUUUGUGCAUUGAGACCAUGUGAGUAUAAUAGAGUCUCCUUAUGUGAGAAUGUAAAGGAAAUUUGGGAUAAGUUAGCUGUCACCUAUAAGGGUACAAACCAAGUGAAAGAGACAAAAAUAAGCAUACUUACUCAUGAUUAUGAGUUGAUCAAGAUGAAAUCUGAUGAAACCAUCAGUGAGAUGUCAAAUUGCUUCACCGACAUCAUUAAUGGUUUAAAGGCUCUUAGGAAGACAUUCAAAUGUGGAUAUGGUAAAGAAAAUUCUCAAUAGUCUACCAAAGAAUUAGAAAGCUAAAGUGACAUCCAUUGAAGAGUCCAACGAUCCUCAUACAUUUUUUUUGGAUGACCUAAUGGGCUCUCUCCUCACUUAUGAAAUGAAGAUAAAAAAGAGACAAAAACCAGUCAAAAAAGGUGACAUUGCUCUCAAAUCUACCUUUCAAAAGGAUAAAGAAAAUUUUGCUCAAGAGGAGGAUGAUGAAGAUGAAGAGAUGGCCAUGUUUGCAAAGCGAUUCAAGAAGUUCAUGAGAAUGAACAAGUUUUCAAUUAGGAGAAGACCAUAAAGGAAGAUGACUAAAGGAAAAUCAAGUAGAAGAGAAAAGGAUCAAAUUAUUUGCUAUGAAUGCAACAAAUUAGGUCACAUUAAACUUGAUUGUACUUUAUGAAAAAAGCAGAACAUGACCAAGCCAAAGAAGAAAGCUAUGGUAGCAACAUGGAGUGAUAGCGACUUUUUCGAUGAUGAAUCAAAAAGAAGAAAGUAGCCAACCUAUGUCUCAUGACUCUUGAUGAGCUCAAGGUAACCUCUAAUCCAUGUGAUUCAAAUUCAUACUCAUUUGAUGAACUACAAGAUGCCUAUGAUGAAUUAGCUAUAGAAUUUGAGAACAUAAGCAUGAAAUAUAAGAAAAUGAUCAGUAAAUUGAAACUAGAAAAUGAGUCAUUGACUAAAGCAAAAGAAGACUUAGAAAAGGAAGUUGAGCUCUUGAAGGUAAAUGUCAAUGACUUGACUAAGAAAAAUGAAAAACUGCAUAAUUCAUUUUUUAGAUUUUAUAUGGGUCAUCAAAAACUCAACGACAUGAUAGAAACACAAAGAGCUUUCUUUGAUAAAGAUGGAUUAAGUUAUAAUGGUGACAACAAAGAGACUCACUUGAAGAAAGUCACUUAUAGAGGUAAGCUCAUUAGGAGAGUGUGGAUUCUAAAAGGAGUUAGCACAUCUCAAGAUGAGGCUACUAAAAUGAAGUGGAUUUCAAAAGGCACAAAAAUUAUUAGUACUAACUCUCAAGGACCCAAGAAAAUUUGGGUACCCAAAAUAAAAAUUUAAUUAUGUUUUUGUAAGUGGAUGAGCAUUGCUACAAAGCAAAUUCCAGCAAGAACAAUCAAUGGUACCUUGAUAGUGGAUGCUUAAAACACAUGAUCGGAGAUAAAACUCUCUUUAAGGACUUGAAAGCAAAAAGUGGAGGAAAUGUUACAUUUGAUGACAACUCAAAAGGCCAAAUUGAAGGGAUUGGCUCCAUUGGUAACAAUUCAUCUACUUUUAUUGAAAAUGUUUUACUUGUGAAAGGUCUCAAGCAUAAUUUACUUAGCAUUAGUCAAUUAUGUGAUAAAGGAUUUAGAGUUGUGUUUGAAUCCAUGUGCUGUCAAGUAAUUGAUAUCAAAACUAACAAGCUUGGUUUUGUUGGACACCGUCAAGGAAACAUUUAUGUAGCGCAUCUAGAUGACCUAUCCUCUAAAAAUGUUUGUUUUAUGGCUCAAAAAUAAAAUGAGAGUUGGAUUUGGCAUAAAAGGCUUGGACAUGCAAGUAUGCAUGUAAUUUUAAAACUUUCUCAAAAUAAUUUGGUUGUUAGUUUGCCAAAGUUGAAAUAUGAAAAUGACAAUGUUUGUGAUGCAUAUGCUUAAGAAAAACAUAGAAUAAUUUUUUUCAAACCUAAGAAUUGCAUUUCAACUAUUAGACUUCUUCAACUAUUGCAUAUUGAUAUUUUUGGCCCUACUAGAACAAUGAGUCUUAGUGGAAACCAAUAUGGGUUUGUUAUUGUUAAUGAUUUCACUAGAUUCACAUGGGUUCUCUUUUUGCAUUCAAAGAAUGAGGCUUUGGAAAAAUUCAUCACUUUUAGCAAACAAAUACAAAAUGAAAAAAGUUAUUCAAUUACUAGUAUUAGAAGUGAUCAUGAAAAGAAAUUUGAAAAUCUAGGCUUUAAUAUACUUUGUAGUGAAAAUGGUAUUAGCCACAAUUUUUCUUCUCUUAGAACUCCUCAACAAAAUGGGGUAGUAGAAUGAAGAAAUAGAACUUUAGAAGAAAUGGCUAGAACCAUGCUUUGUGAAAACAAUCUACCUAGAUAUUUUUGGGCGAAAGCCAUAAAUACUUCUUGUUAUAUUAUAAAUAGAGCUAUGAUUAGGCCAAUUUUGAAAAAAACCCCUUAUGAACUUUUUAAAGGAAAAAGGCCUAACAUAAGUUAUUUUCAUCCUUUUGGUUGCAAAUGUUUUAUUUUGAUAAAUGAAAAAGAUGAUCUUGGAAAAUUUGAUGCAAAAAGUGAUGAAGGAAUUUUCGUAGGAUAUUUUUUGAAUUCAAAAGCUUAUAGAGUUUUCAAUAAAAGAACAUUAGUGGUGGAAAAGUCUAUGCAUGUUAUUUUUGAUGAAUCUAACCCACUUCUAAGAAAGGUGUUUCUUGAUGAUGAUGAUGUAAGUAUACUUCAAGAAUGGAUCAAUGAUGAACCUUAUGACAUUGAGAAAAAAAAUCAAAAGAAAAAAGAUGAGUUUUUAGAAGAGCCACAACACAUAAAGAGAGAGCCAAAUCAUCUUAGAGAAAAGAGGUAUGUCAAAGAUAGUGAAAUCAUUGGUAAUCCAACUUAAGGGGUAAGAACUAGAUCUUCUUUUAAUGUGUGUAAUUAUGUUACUUUCCUAUCUGAUAUUGAACCUAAAAAUAUAGAUGAAGCAUUAGGAGAUGAUCAUUGAAUUUUGGCCAUGCAGGAAGAAUUAAACCAAUUUGAAAGAAACCAUGUAUGAAAUCUUGUACCUAGGCCUAGUGACCAUCCCACCAUAGGCACCAAAUGGGUCUUUAAGAAUAAAAUGGAUGAGAAUGCGAAUAUCAUUAGAAAUAAAGCUAGAUUGGUAGCUCAAGGGUAUAGGUAAGAAGAAGGAAUAGAUUAUGAUGAAACCUAUGUUCCGAUAGCAAGGUUAAAAGCCAUAAAGAUGUUACUUGCAUUUACAUGUUUUAAAAAUUUUAAGCUUUUUCAAAUGGAUGUUAAGAGUGGAUUUCUUAAUGGUUUUAUAAAUGAAGAAGUGUAUGUAAAGCAACCUCUCGGUUUUGAAAAUCCAAAAUUUCCAAAUCAUGUUUAUAAAUUGACAAAAGCAUUAUAUGAUUUAAAACAAGCUCCUAGAGCUUGGUAUGAAAGAUUGUCAAUUUUUUUGAUUGAAAAUGGUUUUAAUAGAGGAAAGGUUAACACUACACCUUUUAUUAAAACAAAAGGUAAGGACAUUCUCAUAGUGCAAAUUUAUGUUGAUGAUAUUAUAUUUGGUGCUACUAAUGAAAUUCUUUGUCAAGAAUUUGCUAAGAUUAUGUAAGGUGAAUUUAAAAUGAGCAUGAUGGGAGAACUCACAUUCUUCUUGGGACUACAAGUAAAGUAAACAAAAAAUGGCACCUUCAUUAAUCAAGCCAAAUACAUCAAGGAUUUGCUUAUAAGGUUUGAAUUGAGAGAAUCAAAGCCUUGUUUAACACCAAUGAGCACCUUAACAAAGCUUGACAAGGAUGAAUGAGGUAAAUGUGUUGACUCUAAACUAUAUAGGUCUAUGAUUGGUUCAUUGCUAUAUCUUAUUGCUAGUAGACUUGAUAUUAUGUUUAGUGUAUGUUUAUGUGCUAGAUUUCAAUCAUCUCAUAGAGAAACACAUUUGUCUACUAUUAAAAGGAUUUUUAGAUACCUUAAGGACAUCCUAAAUUUAAGAUUAUGGUAUCCAAAAGGCUCUUCCUUUGCUUUACAUGCCUAUUCGAAUGUGGAUUUUGGUGGGUGCAAAAUUGAUAGAAAAAGAACUUCUGAUAUUUGUCAAUUGUUUGGAAAUAUGCUCAUAUCAUGGUUUUUCAAUAAACAAAAUAGUGUUGCUCAAUCUACAACUGAAGCUGAAUAUGUAACGACUGGAAGUUGUUGUACCUAGGUUUUGUGAAUUAAGCAACAAUUAGAGGAUUUUGGAAUAAUCAUGGAUCAUAUUCCCAUUAAAUGUGACAAUACUAGUGUCAUCAACCUCACUUAAAAUCCAAUUCAACACUCUAAAACCAAACAUAUUGAAAUUAAACAUCAUUUUAUUAGAGAUCAUGUUCAAAAGGGUGACAUUGUACUUGAAUAUGUUGACACCUUGCAUCAACUAGCUGAUAUCUUCACAAAACCUCUUGAUAAGGAUAGAUUUUAUGCAAUGAGAGGUGAACUUGGCAUGAUGAAUGCUCCUUGAAAUGAAAUUCUUGAUGUUAUCAUGUAUGGUGCACUUUUGAUUGAUUAAAUGUAUGUUUUUCUGAAUUUUUCUUUGGUUUGUGCAUGAUUGUAAAAUGCUUGUUUGAAUGAUCAUAUUGCAUGGUUUUCAACAUGCUACAGCAAAAACCAAUCGAUCCAUUUUGGAAUGGAUCGAUUGGUUCUUCACCCCGUAACCAAAGUAAAAAGAAAACAUAGGGAACCAAUCGAUCCCCUUUGGAUAGGAUUGAUCGAGUGUAAAGGCAGUAGCCAAUUUCGUUGAACCCAGGCAAAAUCGAUCGAUCCCUCUUGGGACAAGAUCGAUUAGGUGUGAAGGCAGUAGCCAAUUUCACUAAACCCAAGAAGAAUCGAUUGAUCCCCUCUUUGACAGGAUUGAUCGGGUAUUCAACCAGUAGCUAAAAUGACUUGGAAAGGUGCAAAACUGAUCUAUCCCCUUCAAACCCAAUCGAUCGAUUUCAUGCAAAGGUAAAAAAUUGAUCGAUCCCCCACUUCACCUGAUCGAUUGAUUCAUGAAUUUUGGGCAUGAUAAAUUCAGGUUCUCACCUGUUUAGCCGAUCCUUUCAUCUUUCCUUUCCUAUUCAUCUUCUUUCCCAACUUUUUCUCUCUACACUAUACAUAUUCCCAUUAAAAAUUGACUCAUUCUCUUACAAAUUUCUCUUGUAAACUCACUACCCACUAUUUCUUACUUAUCAAACUCAUUUCCCAUGGCACCCAAAAUGAAAGUCAUGGCUGGACGACAAAACCCUCCAAGAAAGGCUUCAAGCUCCACCAUGAAGCCUUUUUUCAACCAAAAUUUCAACAAUCCCGAUGCCAAGGAGUGGUAUGAGACACACUUUGCUCAUCGGGAAGUAAAGCCUGAAAGGGUAAUCUCGUUAGACUUCCUUCAAUCAAUAGAGUUUUCCUAUUUGCAUACUUUUGAGUCUUUUGGAUGGAUGCCUUACUUGUGUAUAGAGAGUCACUUAUUUGAGAAUCUAGUAAGAGUGUUCUAUAGUAAUGCUAGCUGUGUUCAAAUUGAAGGAACAAAUAGGCAUUUCCUUGAUAGGUUCAAAACAAAUGUAAAGGGGAAGAAAAUCUUAGUUACAAAAUAAGUGCUAGCUGAGGCCUUUACAUUAGCUGAUAAAAGGGAAACAAAUCCUAGAUGUGAUAUGGUGCAACUAGCUCAAGAUAUCUUUAGGAAUCACAAUUUAUAGGUUGCUCUCACACAAGCCUCUAGGUUACCCAUGCAUGAUCGAUUGCUACACCUUAUUAUAACCCAUGUGUUAGCCCUUUUUGGGACCCAAUACUCUACCAUUAAGAAACAAGAUUAUUGGUGGAUGUACAAGACCAAGCAUGAACAGAAACCAAAUUUGAUACACUUCAUUUUUAGUGACAUGAUGAGUAUUGUCCGGAAUAAAGAUGUUACUCUGGUAUAUGGGUAUGCUAUAAGCAAUCUUUUAAGACAUUUGCAAGUAAACACUAGAGGUGACAGAGAGAUGCACAUCAAUGACCCAUUUAGUAUUCUUGGGCCUCUUACAUUGCAUAGUAUGGGGUAUGUUGAAACUCCAGCUGGCCAAUGGGUUAAAAAGAGGGAUAUUGGUGUUGCACAAGAGGAAGAGGAAGAGCAAGACCUUGUAGAUAUGCCUGCACCUCAAGGAGAACCCCCUAGCACACCUUUUGACACUCAAGGUGCCCUAGAAAUGCUCUUACUUCAUAUGAACAGCCUGCACUCGGUGGUUGGCACUAUGAGUACUAGAUUGGAGUCCAUGGAGGAAACUUAAAAUGAACUUGUGGCACAAGUCCAGCAUUUUUGAGCUGAUAUUGAGCAUAUGAGGUCUACUCCUCAGCACAUGGGACAAUCUUGCAUUACUCUCCUCUUCCACCUCCAUCUUUUCAUUCUCCACCUCCACCUCAAUGAAGCCUUUUUACUGCCAUCUUUUAUGUUUUCCCACAUUUUCUUUAUUUUUGUAAAUAUAACUUUGCAUUAUUGGUUUGUGACUUUGCUCUUAUAUUAAUGCAACUUAUCUUUUAUUCUCUUGUUGGCUUGUGACUUUUGUGGCUCUGUGGCAUUGUUGUUGUGUUUUCAUGUUUAAAGUGAAUCUUGGGUGGCUGAAUUGCUUAAAUCCCUCAUUCUUGAAUUUACUUCAUUUACAUAUUUUUGCUUUAUGACAAAAAAAGAGAAAUAUUGUAAUGAAAAUUGUUGAUGUAUGAAAAUCUGAUAUGUUUCUGAUCAUUGAUAAUGAAUAUUGGCAUUGAUAUAUUGAUGGUAUGGUGAUAUUACUCUUGUUUAGUUUGCCUUAAAUCUUAUGCCUAAAUUCAGGGGGAGCUUUUUUCAAAGGGGAAAAUGUUUUUCAUGCAAAUUUUCAGUUUGAUUUUGGUCAUAUCAAAAGGGGGAGAUUGUUGGCCUUGAAUUGAUUAAGAGUUUUUGAUUGACAAAUAAAAAUUUGCCAAACUUGUUUCAAUCUUAUCUAAGCUUAAAUUGAACAUUUUUCCACCCUUAUCUUGCCAAAAUUUAUUUGAGAACCAAAACAACUCAAAUUCUCGGAAUAAAACAUGAUUUAUGUAAGUUUUGAUAAAAGAGAUCGAUCUUCUCAAGGAAAGGAUCGAUCCCCUCCAUUACCAGAUCGAUCACCUAGCAAAAGGGAUCGAUCUUGUUUUCAACCGGAACUGAAAGUUCUCAAGAUUUGACAAAAAUCGAUCAAUUCUCUUCCUAUAGGGAUCAAUUGGUUAACAGAAUGGAUCGAUCCCCUCAUUUAAGGGAGCAAUCACUUUUUCAUACAAAAUACUUUCCUCGCGUAAUUUUUUAGAAAAGGGAUCGAUCCCCUCACAUAGAGGAUCGAUCACCUAAGGUAAGGGAUCGAUCCCCUCUUAAAAGGAUCGAUCGGUUGUUCAAACAGAAUGUCCCCUAAGUGUGGAAACCCAAAAAAGGGAUCGAUCCCCCCACAUAAGGGAUCGAUCACCUAAAAAAACCAAUCGAUCCCCUUAAGUAAGGGAUCGAUCGGGUAAGGCAAAAUAGGCAUAAAAUCGGGCUUUCUCAAACAUGAACCAAUCGAUCCCCUAAGUGAAGGGAUCGAUCCCCUGAAGGCCUGAAACUUCCAACGGUUAUUUUUUGUCCAAAAUUUAUGCAGGUUUGAAGCAUUAAAUGCAAUCCAAUGGCUCUUAACUUCUUCCUAACUAUAAAUCAAGCAUUUCACUGCAGACCAAGAGUAACAAGAGCUAAAGAAACUUAUUGCUAUUCACCUACCAAUCUGCUUAAGCAUUCAAAGCUGUAAAAAGAGAAAAAGUGUAAAAUUCAUAUAAGUUUUUCUCUACUUUCUUAUCUAUACAUUUGUGUACUUCAACUUAGCAAACACCAAGCCCUUGUGAGGUUCUUAAAGUUUGCCAAACACUUCUGAAUUUUCUAUAUUGUGAGUGUGUAAGCUUAAGGGGGAGGAUAACCUUUAAGAGUGUAUGUUGUUGAGUUUGUAAAGCUUUGUGAAAGCUUAGUUGUAAUCUUCAUCAAAUAGUGGAUUGAACUCUUCAGCAAGAGAGGCUAAGGGAGAGGACGUAGGUGCCUAAGAAAAGAUCGAACCUCUAUAAAUCUUGGUGUUAAAUUAUCUAACCUUAUCUCUUGUUUAUAUUCAUCUAUUGUGCUUAUCUAUUUUGAUAAUUUGUGAUUAUUGAAUAUUAUCUUUGAAAAUUUUAUUAAAACCAAUUCACCCCCCUCUUGUUUAUUCCAAGUCUUUGAGCUAACACUUUUUACUGAUAGUUAAUACCCAUUGAUAUAAACUUUUAUGUUUUGAAUUUUCCUAUCUAUACCAAUAGUUUGUCUAAUGUUAUAUCUUUUAUCAAUGGUCAAUGACUAUCGAUACAACCUUAUGCAUUUUUACCUAUACUGAUAGUUUGUCUAACAUUUUAUUUUUACCGACGUUAAGACUCGUUGAUAUAGCAUUAUUUGUUUUUACCUAUAUCGACGAUUAAUAAGGUGGUAGAGAUGUUAAAGCAUUGUUAAAAAAGAUUUCUUUUUUAAUUAUUAAUAUUAAUUUAUUAAUAAUCUUAUAAUACGAUAUGAUUUCAUAAAAGUAAAAAUACACAAUAAAGUACAAGAUAUUUGAUAACAUUUGAAAUUAAAUUACAAACAAAUUGUUUUAUAAUCAACAAAACUAAGAAUAGGCCAAUAACUAAAGUCAUUGUAAGAAGUCUAGGUUAAAACAAUCAUCAUUGAGUGUCUACAAACAUAAUGCUUGAAGUAAAUAAAUAAUUACCUGAAAUAACUAAUCCCAUCAUAGGUUUUUAUGGAGCAACAUCUGUAUAAAAUAAAAAACAUAAUUACUUACUUAAGUUAAGAACAAAAAAAUUAGAGUAAUUUUAAAAAUGAUUUAUAUGAAACACUAAAUACCAAAAUAUUAGUAUGUAAACAGUACUAAACAACAUUUAUGUUAUUUUAUUUAAAUUAAAUGUCCAGCAAAAAAUUAGAGUAAUUCUAGGUACAUAUAGUAUACAAAACUCAACCUAAUUGCUAUUAAUGAUAGAUUUUACACACAAAAGACAAAUUUUAAUAAAUAGAUAAAGGAACCAAAAUAACAAAGUAACUUAAAAUGGUAUUGCAUAAAUAACUCAAUUCCAAUUUCAAUGAGCAAAAGAACAUUAUAUACAUAUAUAAAGAUAGGCAUGAAAAAAAUUGUAAUAUUUACAAUUGAAUGUAUCAUCUCUUACCAACGUGAUUCAAAGAAAAAGCAAAAAAAAAUAAUUGUAUAACUCCAAAUAGUAUAUGAAGGUAGACUUAAAAAACCAAUUUCAUAUAUAAUAAUCAAUAAGAAAUUUUAAAACAAAUAGCAUUUUAAAUAAGAUUGUUGUCUAAUGCCAAAGUAGGUUCGCUAAUAUAACUUGUGCAAUGUUAAAUGCAUACCAUACAAAAGUGUGCACUACAUAAGUCAUAAGCCACUUAUUUAACAAGGAAAAGCAUAAGGUAAUGGUAAUCAGCCAUAGUAUAUUACAAGGAUACUAAAUAAUUAUGACAGCCAAGAGGCACUUCUCGACCUUUUGGUAAAAAUUGGAGCACAUGAUUAGGAGUAAAAAAUUCCAUGAUGCCAAAUGCAAAAAUUAUUCCAUAGGCCUAUACAGUUAUCAAUAAAUAUUUUUAAAUAUACGUUAUCAAUAGGAAAUAGCAUAUAUUAUAAGACAUUGCUUAAAUUAAAUGUUACUUCAUAUACCAUAAGAAAAUACCUAAUUAAUGAGCAGGGACAUUGUAUGAUUAUUGAAGUCCUAUCACUUCACAAACUUAAAUAUAAAAUGAUAGAUCAACAAUUAUUUUCUUAGAUAUAAUAGAUCCAGGUCACAAUUGGAGUAAUGUUUCUAUAAUCCAAGUGGAGCUCUACUUAGGACUUUUGCAAGAGCAUAUAAGAGCGAGCAUAUAGCAUUUUACAAUACAAAUUAGUGGGUUUUCAGUAAUUCUUGAAGCAUAGGCAUUUUACCCUUUUUCUCCUUAACCGUGAUCAUGGGGCAUGCCUAAGAAUUUUGGGUGAUCAUUGAUUAGUUCAUUUGUUCUAUUCAAGUAUUUUAGAAUUGUGGGAAGUUUAACCUCUCUUAGUUGACUAAAUAAAGUUAGCCAUAGUUCUGGUUGAUUUUUUACUAGUCAGAUAAUAUUAAAUCCACAAAUGAAAGGCAAUAUAAAAAGGCUUGCAUGAGUGAGUGAACAUAUAUAAUCAUCUAGUAACUUGCGUAUCCUACGUGGAUUAUUCAACUUAGUCAAUAAAAUAAUGUGAGAGCUUAAAAGCCAAGUUCCAAUUUGUUAACUUGCAUUUUCUCUUACUAUGGCUUGCGAGUUUACAAUUAUGGCUAUAUCAACGGUCAUCAAAGCUUUAUUUUUAUCUUUUUUUUUAACUCAAAAACAAAAAAUCUUAAUAGUUAGUGCUUAUUAAUCUAGUAUUAGUGACAAAUUAGUAUCCGUUAGUUCAAAAACUUUGAAAUUGAAACAAUAUCAAAACAUGAUGCUUAUGUACUAUUAAAAAAACCCCAGGAUGCAAGCAUUAAAUCAAUUUAUUGUCAAGAACUAGGCUAGGCUAAAAGAAGAAACCCAACUGUUAUGAACAAGGACUGGCAACUACAUAUAGCAUACGAUAUCAUUCCACACAUCAAAUAAAGGCUCUCUGACAAUUUUCAAUUUUUUUCAAGCUUAAGAAUUCUAAAUGGAGACCUAGGUUGUAAGCCAUUCUAAACUUUUUAAGUCUUGACAAUUUUAUUCCUAUGUUAUUCUUUUCAAUUGUUUCAAAAGCUCCUUAAGAAUCAUAAUAUAAAUUCUUUAGAUGGCAAUCAUAAUGGUUAAGAAACUUGCUUUUUUAAUAAAUUCUUUAUUCUGCCUAAUAGAUACUAAUUUAAAAAAAACUGCUAAUUUAAAAAAACCUGUAAGCUAUUCCCAAAAAAUUAAGAAAAUUGUAAAUGGUAAGGCAAAAAUCCCAACCUACCCAUUAUCUCUAAUCGGGGACUAUCAGUUAAGGGGACGUAGCAGCAAUAGAAUGGCUUUCACGAAUUGAUUCAUUUAACAGGACAUGGCAUCAACAGACUGGCUUUCAUGAUUUGAAUCGGUUAAAGGUACAUGACAGCAACAGAGUAGCUUUCAUGGUGGAAAAGCGUAAAAACUGAGAACAUGGCAGUCAGAGAACUCACCUCUGAGAAACAACCAAGACGAAUUGUCAGUUGAAGGGGACUACCGGUGCCAACUAUAGCAACGACCAUGACAGCAAUAGAGCUUAGGAAAAGGAUUGUGGUUUUAAUGGUGGCAGCGAAGAUAAGGGGUAAAGGGCUUGUUUAUUUAAGAGGAAAUACACAGCUUAUCUCAAAAUGAAAAGAAACAAUAC
rnacentral:lncRNA from 1 species